AAAAAAAAAUAAGGAUCUGUUUAUGAUCUGAGACGGGUUCGGAACAGAAAAUAAAAAAAUUUUGAGCCAUCCUGAAUCUGUUCUAUCUCCGAAAAUUAUUUAUAUUUUUAAAAAAUAAUGUAUUUAUAAAAAAAAUCUAAAGUACAAAUAAUUUAGUGCUAUUAUUUUUCAUAUGCUUGAAAUUUUUAAAUUUUGCUUUGAAUUGUGAUUGAUAUUUUUAAUUUUUAUAAUUAUAUUGUUAAUUAUAUGGAGUUGAGAUAGAAUACUCUCAAAAGCACCAUGAAGGUGAUGUUUUUGAGUUUUUAGUCAUUGGAUGGAGAGAUGUGAGGUUGAGAUGAUGGUAGUAGGUGAUGGUAGGUGGAAUAGUAUUUGAUCCAAAGGCUAUUAGUAAUUAAGGAGUAGAUCGAAGGACUAGAAACUUAGAAGCACCAAGGGUUGGUGCUUCUAAAAAUAUUCUAACUCAAUUCAAUUAUAUAUAUAAUAUUAUUAAAAAUUAUUAAUUUAUAUUUUACAAAAUAUUAUAAUUUUAUAAAAAAUAUUAAUUGGCGGAGUAGAUUCGAGACACUGGCGGGAGGCGGGUUACGAGGUGGGGUAUAUUAUGAGAUUUAUUUUUUAACAUGUCACGAAUUUGACGCGAGAGACGGACGAGAUUUUUUUAAUCUGGAUGGGAGGCGGGGUGGGACUACCGUCCCCCGUAUCAGCACUAUUUGCAUCCCUAGCCCCAUUAGUUGUUCGCUCCAGUAAAUUAUACUGUCAGAAUAUUGUUGAACCAAGGCCACUAGCGUAAGUCAAGCCAAGCUGAUCGAACUCUAUCCGUGCUUAGUCAACUCUAGCUGUGCUUAGUCAACAAUCAGUUGCCUGGUGCGUCUACACUGUAGAACGACUCCCAUUUGGGAACAAGAGUCGAAGACCUCAUGUUAGAGAGCAAGAUUAUACUAAAUACUAAUGUGUCGUUUGAUUCGAAUAUAAAUAAAAAAUUUUAUUUAAAAAAUAAAUUUAAUUUUAGAUAUAAAUAAAAAUUAGAUUAAUUUUUCGACUCUAUAAAUUAUAAUUAAGCUCCAAUCUCAUGUCACAGCAUACAACAGACUAAUAUUAUAUUUCGUAAAAAGCAUUUUUAAAAAAUUUGCUAAUAGAUCAACAAUAUUACAGGCAUAUUUAGAAAGUUGAUGUAAAUCUUAUAUUUUAUUCAUCCAAAAAAAUCAAUAUUUUCCAACCAAUAUUAGUAAUUAUUUUUUAAUAUUAAAAAUUUUUUAAAAAUCUAAACUUUUGGAUGAGCAGUUGUAAUUAAGAUUUACAUCUAGUAAAUCAAAAUGAAAAUUAAUAGUACGUCAGCAUUCACGGGGUUAAUGAACAUUGAAUAAAAAAAGAAUCUAGAACUUACGGACAAAGAAGGGGUGGACCGGACAUGCUUGACAAAUUGCAAAAAAAAAAAUAAUUAGACAAUUGAAGCAACAAAAAAAACACUCAGCGACAUGGAGAAAAACAUAAAAAGGACUAAGUCAAUGUGAAAGAGAGGGAGCACUUGAUUCAACAAUCUCAAGCUAGUUUGGCAGAUGGAUGGUUGGUGUGACUCCGUCCAGUCGAGCACAAUUAAUAGACAAUAAUUCCUGUGCGUAUUAAUUUUAUGGAUUAAACGCAUACAACUCUCGAAUANUAAAUAAAAAUUAGAUUAAUUUUUCGACUCUAUAAAUUAUAAUUAAGCUCCAAUCUCAUGUCACAGCAUACAACAGACUAAUAUUAUAUUUCGUAAAAAGCAUUUUUGAAAAAUUUGCUAAUAGAUCAACAAUAUUACAGGCAUAUUUAGAAAGUUGAUGUAAAUCUUUAUAUUUUAUUCAUCCAAAAAUAUCAAUAUUUUCCAACCAGUAUUAGUAAUUAUUUUUUAAUAUUAAAAUUUUUUAAAAAAUCUAAACUUUUGGAUGAGCAGUUGUAAUUAAGAUUUACAUCUAGUAAAUCAAAAUGAAAAUUAAUAGUACGUCAGCAUUCACGGGGAUAAUGAACAUUGUAUAAAAAAAAGAAUCUAGAACGUACCGACAACGAAGGCGUGGACCGGACAUGCUUGACAAAUUGCAAAAAAAAAAUAAUUAAUGUAUAAGAAGACAAUUGAAGCAACAAAAAAAACACUCAGCGACAUGGAGAAAAACAUAAAAAGGACUAAGUCAAUGUGAAAGAGAGGGAGCACUUGAUUCAACNAUAGAAAAAUAUAUAUUUAUUAUUAUUAUUAUUAUUUUAGUAUCAUACGUAAUUAUAAAAUAAUAAUUUUUAGAUUAAAUUAAGUUGAUAAAAAUUUUCAAAUCUCACUUUUUAAAAGACUAAUCUAUAUUAAUAAAAAAUAAAAUCAGCUAAAUUAACUUUAAAUCGUUAAAUUUUAAUAUGACUUGAUAAAUAAAAUUUUGCUGAUUUGAUUAAAAUCAUAUCGACUCUCCGAUUCGAUAGUUGAAUUGCCGGUUCGAAUUGUUAAAAGCGUUUUCUUAAUUUGUCUGAUUCAAAAGAUUGCACUCGAUGGUUUUAUAGAUUAGAUGACGAUUAGAUCGAUCAAAUUAGACUCCAAAGACUAGGGUCUUUUAAUAUAAUUCAUGUACGUCCCAAUUAUUAUAGUAUACACUGUAACAAACUUGGUGGGAAUCAGUACGCUAUCUAUCUAUCCAUCACGUAACGGGCCUAAAGAUUCAAAGUGGCGUGUCCGCGCUAACUCUUCGACGCCACGGAGGCACGACACGUGUCGCUUUUUCCGUUACCCCAACGAAAAGUGCCCUCACUUCAUCUAAAAUUCCUAGUUACGUCCAAAACCGCAACAAAAAGGGUUUUGUGGGGUGAAGAAACCGAGCGUUCGAGAUUCCCACACUCCAUUCCCAUACACACAUGGUUGCGUGUGUUUAAUCCCAAGUUGGAAUCAAUAUGGAAAGCAAAAUAAGAAUAAAUUAAUAAUAAAAUCAGAAUAAUUUAUUAUUUUAUUUUGUUUAAUUCGUCAUCUGAAUCGGAGUNAUUAAGGAGGAAAAGAUUAAAAACAUGACCUAAAUACUUUUAAUUUAUUACUACUAUUCUCUAAUUUUGUCAAUUUUUUUAAUUUUUUUUAUCACCCUUUAGUCUUACUAAUCCAAAAAUAUUUUAUUAUUUAAUUUGAUUCAUAUUCUCUUUGUUGUAUUAUGAUUCUAAUUUUCAAGCAUCGCACGUGCAUACAAGUUUACUAGCUUAGCUAUUAAUUUGGACUCUUUUUCUUUUUCUUUUUCUUUUUUUUUGUGCUACCCAUAGUAUCAAAUUGCAGAGUCUACGGCUUAGAUAUGGCUUUUCAUUUUUUCCAUUUUUAGAUAAAUGGGUUGUUUCGAAACUGGGACCCAUAUUGCGUGAGGCGGUUUCUGGUUAAUUGCAUCUUUCCGGAUAAAAACAAAAUACAAUUAAUACAAAGGAAGCAACACUAACCUGUCAUUCAAAAAUAAUCUAAUUGUGUAUGAAUAUGAAACUUUUCUAAUAUAAUUGUGUAUAAAAAGUUUGAUUAUUUACUUCUUAAAAGACAUUGUUAUCACUGAUUUAGUAAAAUAACAUAUUUUUCUUACGAAUUAAUUUAUUUAUUAUAAAAAAAUAAUUUAAAGGCCAAAUAUAAUGUUCUAUUUAAAUAUUAGAUCACACUUCUCACCGUCCAAAUGGAUAAUUUUAAUAAAAAUAGGCCAAUUUGCAUAAAAAAUUCACUUAUUUUGGGCUUUUGCAAAAUCGGGCCAUAUUUUUGGCUUUUGCAGAUUCGGUCCGCUUUUUCAGCAAACUGACCAAAAUACCCUUAUACCUUUUUCUCUUUCCUCUUUCUCUCUCCUCUUUUUUUCUCUCGUUCUUUUUUCUUUUUCUUCCCAGAGAGCGGCGAAGACGGAGCGGAGGUGCCCUUAUACCUUUUUCUUUUCUCUUUUUUCUCUUGUUCUUUUUUUCUCUCUUCCCAGAGAGCGGCGAAGACAGAGCGGCGUCGCCGCCGGCGCCCCCACCUUCCUCGCCUCCGAUCCCCCUAAGGCCGGGCUNNNNNNNNNNNNNNNNNNNNNNNNNAUAUUCUCUAAUUCUUGUCAAUUUUUUUAAUUUUUUUUAUCACCUUGUUUCUUUUUGUCUUCUAUCCAAAAAUAUUUAUUAUUUAUUUGAUUCAUAUUCUCUUUGUUGUAUUAUGAUUCUAAUUUUCAAUGCAUCGCAGUGCUACAAGUUUACUAGCUUAGCUAUUAAUUUGGACUCUUUUUCUUUUUUCUUUUUUUUUUUUUUUGUGCUACCAUAGUAUCAAAAUUGCAGAGUCUACGGCUUAGAUAUGGCUUCAAUUUUUUCCAUUUUUAGAUAAAUGGAGUUGUUUCGAAACUCGGACCCAUAUUGCGUGAGGCGGUUUCUGGUUAAUUGCAUCUUUCGGAUAAACAAAAUACAAUUAAUUACAAAGGAAGCAACACUAAUGUCAUUCAAAAAUAAUCAAUUGUGUAGGAAAAUCUUUCUAAUAUAAUUGUGUAUAUAAAAGUUGAUUAUUUAGUUCUUAAAAGACACUUAGUUAUCACUGAUUUAGUUAAAAUAAUAAUAUUUUUCUACGAACUAAUUUAUUUAUUAUAAAAAAAUAAUUUAAAGGCCAAAUAUAUGUGUUCUAUUUAAUAUUAAAUCACUACUCUUCCAUCCAAAAUGGAUAUAUUUUUUUAAACUAUUUUAAAUAAAAAUAGUGAGUAAGAAUAUUCUCAUUCUUCUCAGCUCGAGUUAAGGUAGUGCCUUUGACGGCAACACCUGUUUACAUUCGUCUCCUCUGUGUGAUCUCAUCUUCCGAAGAGAUCACCUUUGGCCCCCAGCCACUCCUUAAAACGGCCCAUUUUAAUCAUUGGCUCCGAUUAGGCCUAAGCAACAUCUUAACUGCAAACAACCAGGCUUUAAAAACCUGGAUUGAACAACGACGCUAAUUAUUACCGGUCUCAAAGAGUUAUUGCUUCAAGUAUGUACUUUAAUUAUUAUGUUGAAAAUUUUUAUAUAGAAAAAAUAUUAUUUAUUAUUAUUAUUAUAUAUUUUACGUAUCAAUACGCUUAAUUAUAAUAAUAAUUUUUAUAAUUAAAUUAUUUGAUAACAAUUAUUCAAUCUCACUUUUUAAAGAAACUAUCUUAUAUUAAAAAAAAUAAUAAAUCAGCUAAAUUAACUUUAAAUCGUAAAUGUUAAAUAUGACUUGAUAAAUAAAAAUUUUGCUGAUUUUGAUUAAAUUGCAUAUCGACUCACCGAUUCGAUAGUUAAAUUGCCCGAGUUCGAAUUCGUUAAAAGCGUUUUCUUAAUUUGUCUGGAUUCAAAGAUUGCAGUCGAUAGUUUUUAUAGAUUAGAUGACGAUUAGAAUCGAUCAAAUUAGACUGCAAAGACUAGGCUUUUUAAUAUAAUUCAUGUACGUCCAUUUAUGUAUAGUAUACACUGUCUAACACACACUUUGGCUGGAAUCAGUACGCUAUCUAUCUAUCCAUCAUCGUGAAUGGUGCUAAAAGAUUCAAGUGGUGUCCGCAGGUAACCUCUUCGACCCCACCGGAGGCACGACACGUGUCGACCUUUUCCGUAUACCCCAGACGAAAAAUGCCCUCAACCUACAUUCCAAACAAUUCGCUAAGUUACGUCGUAAACGAGCAGUUCGAGAUCCCACACUCCAUUCCAUACACACAUGGUUAUUGCCGUGUGUUUUAAAUCCCAGGUGGAAUCAAUAUGGAAAGCAAAAUAAGAAUAAUGUAAUAUAAAAUCAGCAUAAUUUAUUAUUUUAUUUUGUUUUAAUUCGCCAUUUGAAUCGAAGUCGAUAAUGAACUAUUUUCUUUAUCGGAUGUUCCGUUCAGAUUAGAUAUAAGAAAACGUAAUACAAUUAACUAGUAUAAUUUUAUUUUUUUAAUAUUUUAGUUUAAAUUCAAACUAAAAUUGUAAUAUUGAAAAAUUUACUGUUAAAAUUUUAAAAUAAUGUCAAGUUUGUAAAUAAUUUUUUCUAAAAAAUUGUUAUGUUGAAAUUGAACCGAUAAUUCAACAUUAAAACUAAAUUUCUAAUUUAUUCCAAUUCAAACUUAAAAUUUUCAUUUUAAUAUUUAAUUUUAAUUUGAAUCCAUAAAUUUAUUUUAAAUUUUAAUAAAAAUUUAGAAUAAACUUUACGAUUUAAAUUAAAUUUAAUUUCAUACAAUUUAGACUCGAAAGCCUUGACAGAUUUUUAAUUUUUAAUUUAAUGUUUCAAAAUGUAAAAAUUAAAUUCUAUAAAUUAAAUUUUAUAGUUAACUUAUAUUUUUAUAUUAUAAAUAAGUUUAAGAGUUAAUCUAAUCCUGUAACAAAAUCUAUUUGUCAGAUUUAAUUUCUACAUCCCGCGUUCUCUAAAUGGGAGAUUCGAAAAAAAGAAAAAUUUAAGGACUAUUUUCAUUUCACCUGAUAAAUUGGAUCUAAUAUAAUAUGAUUCGCUCCAUGUUCUGAUCUUUGAUUCAGAGUAGUCUGGUAAAAAAAAAAGUACAACCACAUGUAUUAUAUACCGGGCGGAUAUACCCUUUUCCCUAUCUUCUAUAUCGCAUGGGGAUGUCGGUGGCUAUAUAUAUAGCAGAGAGAGACAAGGAGAGGGCAUCAUCACUAGCGCGUCUCUCAACGCAUGUUCAUAUUUUACUCUUUGCUUCGCUCGAACAAAAUUACGUAUCGGCAUAUGAUGCAUCAGCAUGGCGACGUUGCCGGUUUCCUCCGAUCGUCCUCGUUCUCUCCUCGUCUCUCUCCUGUUCUCUGCUUCGCAUCGUCACGAGCGGCCGAACCCAGAGAGACCCCUCUUCGUCGCCCUCGACGCCGACGCGACGGUUGCUCACCACAGCACGGUAACGCGUUACGCGCGCCUCCUCCCCUCGUAUGCUUUAGAUCGCAAAUGGUGGUGUAUAUCGAAUUGAUGUGAUGAUAUGUUUGAUUGCCUCCUCUUUUCUUUUCGGCAGUUUGAAAUGGUUUUUGUAGAAAUUUGAGUUAGUGUGGAUUAGUCGCUAACCGUUUGCGAUCGAUAACUUUUUUUUUUGCGUGAGGCAUUAUUUCUAUUUACUUUUUUAUUUUUAAGGAGGCGGCUAAUUUUUGUUGUAUUUUUUAAGUUUCCGACCAAUCGUUUUGAAUUGCUUGCCUCAUUCGCCAGGUUCACACCGCCAUAUAAUAAUCACGCAUAAAUCAAUGUACAUAAUAAUGAGGUGCCAUGCAUGUUUCCAGGAUUUUAUUUAUUUAUUUAUUUAUUUUUAUUUUUUAUCCUGACUAGAAACACAUUUAGGACUUUGCAAACUAAUUUGUAGGCGUCAAACACUAGCAUAAUUUCUUUUAUUAAAUCUAAAGAGCUCACUGGCAUUUGACUAAAGAUGAAUAAAACAGAUUUAUUUUUAUUUUUCACGUGGUCGCCAUAGACACAUCUAUUGAUUAAACUCGAUUCGUUAGAGGUCUUAUAAUAAAUUUUAAUAUUUGAUCUGAUCAAUGCUUAAAAAUGGUCUUAUAUGUUCGAAUUGUGAUCUUAUAUUUACUGUUCUUUUGUUUUUUUAUUUAUGUAAACAAGCAAUACCUAUUAUAACUUAUUAUUGAUCUUUUGAGGACGAUUUGUGGGCUAAAUACUACGACUUCUUAAAACAAUGAUCUUUUUUUUCUUUUUUUUUCUUUUUUUUUUUUUUUUUUUUGAGAAUAGGUGCAAGCAAUGCAUUGAUAUUUAUAUACAUAUGACUAUUUAACCGGUCUAGUAUCACAUAGAAUGUGCUUUCAGAAAAGUGGGGGGGAGAGAAAAAGGAAAUAAUCCACUCCUUUUAUGAAUGCAUUUUAUAGUAGGGACUUAGUUUUUCAUUGUGUUGUUAUCUGCGCCAGGCAAUAUCCCUCCCUUUUCAUUUUGUUUUUUUCUUUACUAAAUAUUUAUUCCAAAUCAAUACUAAGAUUUUUUUUUUUUUUGACCGGAACAAUUGAUAUGAGAUAAAAAUUAAUUAGCAUAAAGGGUUGACUUCACUCCACAAUCAAAUAUGUAAUUAGUAUCAUUAGCUAUUACAAUUCUAGCUCUUUCUUUGUUUUGUUCUAUAAAAUUGUUAGAUGUCACUUUUGAAUUCGUUAAGUUAAUUAUCAUUACUACAAACAGGCUUGGAACUGAUAGUUCAUAAGGUAAGAAGCCUAAAAGAAUUGAGAAAAUUGAGAAAAUAAACCAUAAAAUUGAAAGGUUCAUCUAACCGGCCAUGAAAGCUACGUGUGAGUAUGCCAAUUAACGCAUUAUCAAAAUAACUUGUUCGUUUUGUGUGUCCUUUCUCUCUCUGCAAUCAUGAGGUUAAAUGAAUGGAGAUGCCACAGUUGAUGGAUAUUUUUUGUUAACAAUGGUGGAUAUUUAAUUGGACACCUGGCAACUUAUUAACAAUUAAUGAUGUAAUAAUAAAAAUAUUGUCGGCUAUAAAGACGGAUUUCGAAAGGUUUUUCUCAUAUUGGAUAACCAUUGCAUUGAGCAAAUCCUUGAUGUGAUGUUUAAUCAAAAUGCAAAUAUAUGCAAGUUUAAUUUGAAAUUCCAUGGCGUUCGUCUUCGCGUACUUUCCUUCACAAACUGCAUCUCUCUUGUUUGUCUAGAGGCUCGCAUUAAUUGCAUAGACGAAACGUGUAGUUUUCAACUCUUUCCGAGAAAGAAGAUCGAAGAUGAUGAAGUAGAAGAAAACAAUGUUUUCAACUUUUAUUUUCUUCUGUAGUUCUUUCUGGUAACGGAUUUACUGUACUAGAUAAUGCAAAGCUAUAUAUGUUAUUUGUUAUGGAUAAACUGAUUGGUUGUAACCUGUGGAGGCAACCAAUGAUCAUGAUCAUUAACCUUUUCAGCUUUAUGAUAUUUCUUUCUUUCAGCAGGGGAGAUAUGUAUUUUUUCUACGAUGAAUUACCUAGCCUAUAUAUGCGUACAUAAAUUUUAUGCGCACCACAUUAUGCUAAAAAAUUUCACACAUAUGAUUGGUUCUUGCAGCAACACUAUAAAGAAACUUCUAAAACUUACUUCAAAAAGUAAGUAAUAUGCGUGCUGAAGAACAAAUGAGCAACAAAUGUACAUGCCUAUCUUUUAGAAUUUCCCUUGACAAUAGUUUUACUGUGGCAUAGCUUGUAUAUGAGCUUUAAUUUCUUCAUUUUCCCAAUACGUAUCCACCUUGUGACAUAUGGUCAACUUAAGUGUGAUUUACUUGCACGCAAUACUUCACCUGAUGAGUGACGAUAUCACUUUGUUCUCCUAAUUGCACAUAAACAGUCCACUACAUAUAUAUGGUUGUGUACCAGAUCUGCUUUUCUUUUUUUCUUUUUCUCUUUUUAGCUAAUUACUACGUAUAUAUACUUUCUUGGUUUGCCGUCUCAUUGACAAAUUGAAAUUUAUUACAGCUACAAGUUUGAAUUAUGAAUUGCUCAUCAGUUUCUCCCUUCAUGUUUGAAACUAUCAGGUCCAUAUAUCUCUGGUAGGUUCUGAUAAGAUGAGAGUGACGUGGAUCACCGACGACGACGCCCCAUCUGUCGUCGAAUAUGGUACUUCCUCGGGUCAAUACCCUUUCUCGGCCACCGGCUCCGCCUCCUCCUACUCAUAUGUCCUCUACCGCUCCGGCCACAUCCAUGAUGUCGUCAUCGGUCCCUUAAAUCCCGACACCGUCUACUACUAUCGCUGUAGCUCUAAUCCCUCGCGCGAGUUCUCCUUCAAGACACCGCCAGCGAAUCUCCCCAUCGAACUUGUCAUAGUUGGUAAUAUUUUCUCCUUUUUUUUUUUUUUUUGUUUGCCCUCGAUCAUCGCCUCCUUAUAUUAGUUUUUUUUUUUGAAUUAUUUUUAAUAUAUCGAUAGUGCUAAAUUAAUUCUGCAAUCUGCAUCAUUGUAAGAGGAUUAAUUGCAUUAGUGUGCAAAAAGUACAACCAGCACUAUGAACUAUAUAUGGGUUGGUCAGAACAACCGACCAAUUAAACAACUGCUAGUUAAAGGUUGCUUAAAAUUGCAAAACUGCUUACAGUUAAAUUAGGUAUUGUCGAUGGAAACUUUCUGUGUCCUAACUUUAACUGUUGGUGAUCUUUUUUUAAGUUGUUUGGCGAGCACACGAAAAUUAUUCUUAAACAGUGAAUAAUUGGCUAGGCUGUUUGGCAGUAAGAAUAAUUGUCAUAUAUUAUAUAAUAUAAUUUUUGGUAGAAAUGUACGCAUUAGAGCUUAAUUAGUUAUGUAAUUACUUACGUACCUGAGGUUGGAAUAUAUUAUUGUUGUCCAAUAUCGCGCGGAUGCACGCAUGCAGGCGACCUGGGGCAGACGGGUUGGACGAACACGACGCUGCAGCACGUGGCGGGUGCGGCCUACGACGUGCUGCUGCUGCCGGGCGACCUCUCGUACGCGGACCUGUACCAGCCGCUGUGGGACUCGUUCGGUCGGCUGGUGGAGCCCCUCGCGAGCGCCCGGCCCUGGAUGGUGACGGAGGGCAACCACGAGAUCGAGAAGAUCCCCCUCCUCGAGCCACGCUCCUUCAAGGCCUACAACGCCCGCUGGCCCAUGCCCUUCGCCCCGAGCUCCUCCGACUCCAACCUCUACUACUCCUUCGACCUCGCCCAGGGAUCCGCCCACGUCCUCAUGCUCGGCUCCUACGCGGACUUCGCCCCCGCCUCGCCCCAGUACCAGUGGCUGCAAGCUGACCUCGCCCGCAUCGACCGUGCCCGGACCCCCUGGGUCCUGGCGCUGGUCCACGCGCCAUGGUACAACUCCAACGAGGCCCACAAGGGCGAGGGCGAGGCCAUGCGCAGCGCGCUCGAGCCGCUGCUCUACGCGGCGCGUGUCGAUGCCGUGUUCGCCGGGCACGUGCACGCCUACGAGCGGUUCGCGCGCGUGUACAACAACACGGCGGACCCGUGCGGGGCGGUGCACGUGACGAUCGGGGACGGCGGUAACCGCGAGGGGCUGGCGAGCGACUUUGCAGAGCCGGCCCCGGGGAUAUCGGAGUUCAGGGAGGCCAGCUUCGGCCACGGCAGGUUGCAGGUGGUGAACGCCACCCACGCGCUCUGGACGUGGCACCGCAACGACGACGACGAGCCCGUCGUCGCCGACCAGGCCUGGCUCACCAGCCUAGCUUCCAACCCGGCGUGCAGCGGCAAGACCCACAGCUAGCCGCUGAUUGCUUAUAAACUAGGCUGGGCUUGGCCUUGUUUAUUUUGUAUUGUUAAUUUCUUUAUUUAUUGAUCGAUUAAUUAGUUUGCACUACUAGCACUACUAAUUCUCUCUUUAAUUAUAUAUACGUUCGUGUGUAAUGGCAUUCUAGUCGAAAGGUUGUUGCAGGAGAUUGAAAUAGUGCAGUAAAACAUUACGAUGGGUAUUAGCUCUCCGUGUUACAUUGAGAAAAAUAAAAACUAUGCAAAUUGUUGUCCCCUACAUUGUUCUAUAUAUACUUCUAUAGCCGGACGGACCUCACCGUCUUGGAUAAUUCGACAAAUGAAGAAAGGCCUUUAUAUAUUCUGCUUCAGUUUCACCUACCGAGGAAAUGAAGAAGCCAAAGGACAUACUAUCCUUAAUAAGUGUCAAAAUAAACAUCCUAAAUCAUCUUGUCUUGAAACUAAUAAAACACUGCUUUGUUCUGCAGCCGACAACGACGAAAGAGCAUCAAAUUCCUGCCAAGCAAACCAACUAAGAAUCUUGUUGAAACUGUUCGACAUCAUGGUUUUGUAGCUAAAUUGCUCACAGUCAUUAUUUAUUGGCCUUAUGUGCUAUUAAUUUAACUCUGUGGCUGUCCCAGAGGCCAGAACCUAGUCCCACGGGGUUGAACUAGAUAUAGAAACAGAAGGGUACGAUAUAAUACAGAAUUAGAGACCAUGUGGAAGCAGUGCAUCUCUCUUCGCCAGUCACUUGACUGACCUAUUCGCUGGAGCUGUACAAUGGCUGUGGAUUUCACAGAAGCUCUCCCCCAGGCCUAGCUUCCUUCUAUACACCCCACACCCCACACCCCACACCCCUCAUGUGUUGUACUCUGCUUCCCAUGAGCACUCCUUGUCCUCUUCCCUUCUCCUCUUGGAAAUUAAAUCCCUAAACCAUCAUUCCCCCUCAUGAUUCAAACUGGCCCAUCAUGCUCUUGACUAAAAGAUUGAUUCCAGGGAAUAGUCUAAAUAUAUUUUUAUAAUGAUAUUAGGCGAAUCAUGUUACACACACAUGGACAGUGACGAUAGGCAUAGAUGAAUGUCAAAAAAAUCAUGAAUUUGGACAAUUGAACAGCGGAACUUUUAAUUUAAGAUUUGGGACAGACACUAAUACCAUAUUUUUUCAAAAAAAAAAUCUAGAGCGGAGAAGGUUUAGGACCAACUCCAUUACCAGAUUUAUCCCCCCGCCCCCACCAAAAAACAAAAAAAAAAAGAAAAAAGAAAAGAAAGAAAAGAAAUGAGUUUGACACGAAAUGGGUUAUGAAUAAUGUAAACAAAGCUGAUCUCUCACUGCCCACUAUGGACUGACAGAUCGAAUCCAGGCCGUUCGAUUCACCUCGAUGGUGUGUGAUGAAUGAAUGGAAAGGAAGUUACAGCAAAGCAUGACAUAAGCGCAUGAUGAGUUUUGAGCGGUGGUCAUGUGAAGGCAUUUAAGAGAGAAAUGAACUCAAUGGCUCCUGCAAUACUCUGCGUAUGCAAUCUUUACCUCUGUGAGUAAAAGAUUAUAUUCUCCCCCUUCCAAAAGCUUCUACUAAUGAGUUCCUUACUCACCCGGGAAUUAAUACCAUCCUAAAUAGCCUAUGCCAUAUCAAGUUACAAUACGCAAUCUUAUAGCACGCAAAAGUGCAGUUCACAAAUCUAUCUGUUCUUUCCCAAUUUGGGCUCCCCUACCAAACCUGGGUAGGCUCAACUCACUCCAUAUCCUUCCCAAAGUGACCCCAUUCCUAUCCUUAUUGUAUUGCCAAAUCUAUGCCUCCGUCGGGAGCACAGGCCAUUUGGAAGUUAAAAGUCCUGUAAUGAUGGUGAGAUAGCAAUCUGUGUCCUUGAAGGAGCUUUUUGGUCAUGAUGGACGUGGGAGGAGGAGGAACACUAGUAGAAGAAGAAGAAGAAGAAGAAGAAGUUUCGAGAAGUAUAAAAAUAGGGGUGCGGAUAUGCUUCGACUAGUGAGGUCCAGAGGGGGGCACUUGAAUGCUCCUCAUAAUUUGAUUCUGGGAGCCAUGCAAAAUCUUCUGUCGCAGGGGAUAAGAGAGGAGUGCAUUCAUUGAAACCCUAAAAUCUACAUCAGCCCAUGAACACCACCAGUCAUCCAUGUGAGCAAGGCGAAAAAUCUGGGAUGCAUAUUUGAGAGGGAGGCAAAGAUGUAGUGGAAUAUACAAUAUAAUAUAGUAAAAUCAGGAUUCAGGAGUAAAUUGGGAAAUUUUAUAAUUGGAAAAAAUAUUUUCCACUUUAGUAAAGUGCCUGUUGGUUUGACCUCAUAAUAGAGUAUAAUAAUAUAAUAUUAUAUUAUUCGAUAAAUGUGUGAGUGCUAUUAUUGGAAAAAGGGCUAUAUAAAAACACAUUCAAUAACUUUCUGCACCAGAAAUAGAAAUACCNGCAUCCGUCGGGAGCACAGGCCAUUUGGAAGUUAAAAGUCCUGUAAUGAUGGUGAGAUAGCAAUCUGUGUCCUUCAAGGAGCUUUUUGGUCAUGAUGGAUGUGGGAGGAGGAACACUAGUAGUAGUGGAAGAAGAAGAAGAAGAAGAAGAAGGAGGAGGUACGAGAAGUAUAAAAAUAGGGGUGCGGAUAUGCUUUGACUAGUGAGGUCCAGAGGGGGGCACUUGAAUGCUCCUCAUAAUUUGAUUCUGGGAGCCAUGCAAAAUCUUCUCUCGCAGGGGAUAAAAGAGGAGUGCAUUCAUUGAAACCCUAAAAUCUACAUCAGCCCAUGAACACCACCAGUCGUCCAUGUGAGCAAGGCGAAACAUCUGGGAUGCAUAUUUGAGAGGGAGGCAAAGAUGUAGUGGAAUAUACAAUAAUAUAGUAAAAUUAGGAGUAAAUUGGGAAAUUUUAUAAUUGGAAAAAAUAUUUUCCACUUUAGUAAAGUGCCUGUUGGUUUGACCUCAUAAUAGAGUAUAAUAAUAUAAUAUUAUUCGAUAAAUGUGUGAGUGCUAUUAUUAGAAAAAGGGCUAUAUAAAAACACAUUCAAUAACUUUCUGCACCAGAAAUAGAAAUACCACAUUAGAAUUUUUAUUGGUGAGGUUGAAAACCUUAUUUUUAUUUCCUGCGUUAGCGCAAAUUUAGAUCUUUCUCAUUAACAAAUGUUUUCCUGAAGAUUGCUGCGCCUAAAAACAGAAACAAAACAGAACCAAUGUUUUGUAGGCCUAGAAUAGAUUAAUAAUUUAAUCCGGAUCCUCAUUUGACAAUAAUACGCUCUAAUAGUUUCUAACAGAUCCAAACGUGAAGCGGAGAUUUUAGAGGGAUUCGGUAUGAGAUGGAAUAAGUUAGUUACAGGGACGAUAAAAAAAAUUUAAACAUUUUAAUACAUAUCUAAGUCGAAAGGGACUAACGACAACAUACGCAGCAGCGCCCAUGGGAUUAAUUAAAUAAAGAAAGGGAAGUUGGGGGGGGGGGGUGUGGUGCGGGCGCGGGGAGGAAUAAAUUAUAUAAAAUGCUUCCUCUCACACGCAAGAAGAAGCAAAGUCCACAGAGCGGAAUCUUCAUCUCAAUCCAAACGAGGUCCACGAGGUUCCUGGCCCUAGAAAAUGACUAAUGUACCCAUGGCCUCACCGCACAGCCCUUGGGAGGCAAAACGAUCCGAGGAAACGUAAGGUGCUCGCUCACGUUAAGCACCCAUGGCGCCCAGGUGGGCCAAUUCAGUGGCGUUCCCUCAGAGGGCGCUCGUUACCCUCAGAAACGUAUACUUAUCUCCAACGAGGCCCACGAGGGCCCAGCGAAAUUACCAACUCGACCACCCCACCCCAAAAAGAGGGAGGAAAAAUAAAAUAAAAUAAAAUAAAAUAAAAUAAAGAACCCAAUCCCCUCAUUAAACUACGAGGAGGCGCCAGCUACUCCUCUAAUACAUAAGCAGCCUAAUAUUAUUACAUUCCAAAGUUGACAUUAUGCAUUGCAGCAAGUACGAAUGUACAAAACUCUUCAACCAUAGAUUAUUUCGAUCCAAAAUGCCUACACUUCAGCAUUUUAAAUUGAAGUAGACAUUAAAAAUAUAAGAACCUAUAGUUUUCAGAUAAUAACAUAACAUAACAUAAGAGUUAAGAGUUGGCCAGACGUUGUUGCAUUAUAAUUAUGGAUAAUAUUAAUUAAUAAUAACUAGGGCCCAGCCGCCCAGGAGGGGACUUACAUUAGCGGAUCAACCAGAAGUCUAAAUAAUAGAAGAAAAGAAAUAUGUGGCCAAACUCAAUCCAGUAGAUAGAUUGCACACAACUAGUCGGGGAGCCAGAAGAUAUAAGUUCGUGAUCAUCUUUCCAACCGAGUUUAAAAAAAUAUAUAAAAGAUAAAAAAAGGGGGGGGGAAAUGAUGGUGAAAAUAAAUGAGAGGGGAGGGGAGGGGAGGGGGGGGAUAUAAUAAUUAAUAAUGAGGAGUAAUAAUGGAAAAAGACCAAAAGAGCAUCGAUGAGGGGUGAUGAUGAUGAUGGGGGAAGGGGGCGAGGACCCGGAAGGGCCAUCAUUGCGAAUCUUGGGCCGGCCGAACCCCAUCAUCAUUUGGGAGGGGAGGAAAAAGGCCCACGAAAUUCCCAAAAUGCCCCUUACUACUAGUCCGCCCCAGAGUCCCAGACCCCAGACCGAGUCCCCUUCUCCCGCGCUAUCACGUGACGCCACCCGCUCUUCCCUUCCAACCCCAUCAUCAUCAUUUGCCAACAUUAAACUCUCGCCCCCUACCGGCCGCCUCCACUCCUUUCCCUUGCUUGCUUACACACACUCAUGCAUGAUUCCUGUGCCCCUCCUCCAUAGUCCACACAAAACACAAUUAAGAGAGAGAUAUAUAUAUAUAUAUAUAUAUAUAUAGAGAGAGAGAGAGAGAGAGAGAGAGAGAGAGAGAGAGAGAGAGAGAGAGAGAGAGAGGGGCAUAUAUAAUCACAGCACAACCCACCCUGAGCACUAUAAAUAACCCCUCACACCCCACCACCCGAAAGCGCACAUACGCACUUCUUCUUCCCAUUCUAACAUCAUCUUCUUCGUCGCUUCUAAUCCCUCUAUACGUCUCUCUCUCUCUCUCUCUCUCUCUCUCUCUCUCUCUCUCUCUCUCUCUUCUUGAACUUUCAAGUCCCAGCACCCAAAAGGUGAUCACUCGGGAAAAACCAUGGCUUAUAUUAUAUAUAUAAUAUAUAUCCUAUGGGCCUCCUCUGUUUCUCCUAUUGGUAUAUGUUAUCUCGUUGGUUAGGAUAGUAUGCUUUCUUGUUUAGGAGGACCGGGUCGAUGGUGUACUUCUUCCUCAACUCCUAUGGUGGGAAAAACUGAUGUAAUUUGGUCAUCCUUUUUGGUUACGUAGGGCCUUCCUCUCUAGCUAGUAACCAUACUUACACGUACCUAAUCGAGGUAUUGAAUAGUUUUUACACCUUAAAAAAUAUACAUAUAUUUAUACUAACCUCCAGUUUAUGCUAAAUUUGUUUUCUUCUAUGUCGCCACAUUUGUCUGUCUCUCUCUCUCUCUCUCUCCUGGUGCUGCCAUAGCACGCAGCCCAUAGUCUUUUGAGCUUUAUUUUUUGACUUUAGAAGGUUCAGCUAUGCAGGUAAAAGGAAAGGAGAAAUGGGCUUUGUGGGUCUCCUAUGUUGUUACUUUUUUUUAACUCUUUGUAGCGCAUUCGGCUUUUCCUUUUGUGUAUCAUCUUUGGGAAAAGCAACAGUCCGUCCUGUUCAGAAUAUACCACCAAAAGUCUAUCUACUUCUACUCCCAGUUCCAUCCUAUUAAUUUACUAACAUACUACCAACCAAUAUUAUUCCUCACACGCUGACCUUUUCUUGUUUUACUGUGUCCACCAGGGGUACUACUUCCCCUACGAGCAAAAGCCAUGGAGAGGAUCAACUCGAAGCUCUAUUUGCAGAACUGCUACAUAAUGAAGGAGAACGAGAGGCUGCGGAAGAAGGCGCAGCUUCUGAAUCAGGAGAACCAGGCCCUGCUGUCGGAGCUGAAGCAAAGACUGGCCAAGUCGAAUGCUGCUCCAAAUCCUAACCCCGUUCCCGACCUCAAUGCCAGCCCGCCGCCCACACCCAACAUGGCUCCUAAUACCAGCAAGCCCUGAUCCGAUGCCAUGACAAUUGUAUGUGGGGGUGGGUAAAGGGUUCUUUUUUGGGUUGCUUUUGGGUUACAUGUUAUGUUAGCUUUACAAACCUAAUGUAGUGUACUGGGGAUCCAUCGACAGCCUACAGCCUACAGGGCAGUUUCAGUUAUAUAUAAAUAUCAGUAUAUGUUUUGUUUGUUGAAUCUAACUCAAAUUCUGGAAUUCUAGAAUUCUACUCUCGAGUCGUAAAUGUUUUUAUGUUGACGGUGAAAAUUUACUUUAUUGCAUGAUUUCAUCCAAUUUAACUGAUGUAAAAAUGUUUCCGCUAUAUAAAGAAACAAUUGGAACCAAUGCAAGGUAACUUAAAAAUCCACACUUAGCUUCUUAUCGAUGUCAGCGAAUGUCUGGAAAAAGGCCUUGAAGUGUUUGUAAGCUGUAUCCACAUCUUGUUUCCCACAUAUCUCACGAACACUGCAUUUGUUACACGCAUAAAAGAAGAGUUCAAAGACUGCAUAUGCAAAAUCUUGAAUUUUCUAUUCAGAUCAUAAGUUCUAAUAUCAAUAAGCCGUAUCCUGUUCUUCUUAAAAUUUAAGCCACGAGUUGUCCUAUUUUGACGCACUACCCAGUAACUAAGCAUAAGUGAUUUGCCAACAAGCAUUACGGGCAGUAGCUUUAAGUUGUUUAUCCGGUUCGUAAGUUUGUCCAUAAUUUCAAGUUGAAUUCUGCAAAUGAAAUUGUUAGUUGCAUGAUGAUUGUUCAUGAAUUAAGAUUUUCCCAAUUGUAUUGAAGUUAGUAUAUUAGCUGAAAACAGCGAAUGCACCAAACUCAAGUUACAGGGUAGGUGUCUGGCAACAUCAGUUCUAUCGAUGUAUAAAUUGGUAAUAGCUUUGAUUGUCAAGUAAAAUAAACCGUUUAAGUAGAUCAUAAUAAGUUCAAAAGUAUUCUAAUCUGUUGCAACCCUGAGCAGUCCUCUGUACUGCCGUUUCCAUGGACUAUAUAAAACUUUGUUACAAAAUACAAAUUGAUCUGGUUUUACGGACCUAGAAUCAACAAAGAGCAUACCACCUACUCGUCUUUAAAAUCAUAAGCAAGCUUGUCUAUUGAAAUACAGGAAAUAAAAUGACCAAUUAUAAAUUUGCCGAAUGACCUGCUAACCACGGAAUUUCAACCCAACCAUUAGUGAGUGCUAGAUGGUGUUAUUGGCUUGCUGAACAGAGCAGAGUCCUAUUUCACAGUUCACUGAUAUCAUUUAGUUAAAAAAGCAUGGACCUUACUUGAACUACACCAAAUUUUGAAACGGGUGCUCAGAACUCUAAAAAAUUUGGUUUUAUUACCAAAUCUUAUAGUAUAUUUCAUUUCAUAGAUUCAAUUAGAAUUUAAACUUCUUUUUUGACAGAACAUUUACAAUUUUAAAACAAAAUAUCUUUUUCUAUUUGACGAAAGGUUCUAUAAAUUGUUUAAGAAAGGAUGUUAAAUUCUAACAUAAUUUUUUUGACAAGAAUGUUUGAGAGUUUUUUAAAAAUCAAAAGAAAUGUAAAGUUAUACAGUAAAAUUAAAAAUUUUGAAACUCAGCUCAUUUCAAAAUGAGUCAAUAGUUCAGAUGAGGUUCCUACAUUUUUCACCCAUUUUUUUAUCUUCCAAAGUUUCUCACCUUUGGAUAAAGGACGGUUAAAUCCAUACUUUGUUUACUUCUUUUUUUUUUUUAGAGGAAACACAAAUUUGUUUAUUGAAAUAUUCUAUCCGGACAUCCUGCAAGUAAGAAGUACAUUCUAUACCAACCAUCUAAAAAUUUAAAAAUCUCUUUUAAAUUUUUAAAAUUAAAAAAAUGAUAAGAUCAGAAAAAAAGAAUUAGUUGUUUAUAUAAAUAAAAUAUAAAAUUUACACUUUUUUUUUUAAGAGAGAGAAAGGUAGCAUGCUAUCCGUUUCGUUUAUUUCAUUUAGAAAUAAAUUUAGCUGAAAAUGUGAAUCAAAUAGAAUUCGAACUUGAAUCUCGAGUACCAAUCAUCAAUCCUUUUUGCCACUUGUGCUAGGAAGGGUCAGUCACUCUACUUAUUGAUAUGCAGCUUGUUUACAAGAAUAUUAUACGGCAAUAUUCUAGUAACUGUCCUGGACAUCUAUUUGAUCCCGAAAGGAUGUCUUUGAUCGGAGAUUUAUCCGAGAUCUAAAAGGCUGACGAGGGUAUGCAAAGUCAAAGAAAGAUCUCAUAGAUUCUGAAGAGAGGUCAAUCUAUUUCUUAAAUAAUAGGAAGACCAUAUGCAAAUUCCUCCGGCUUAGUUUAGGUCCGUUUGGUUCAGCGUAAAAUCGUAAAAAAUAAAUUUUCGUAAAAUUUUUUUUAACAUUUUGUAAUAUUUCGUUUAUAGAGAAAAAAAAAUAUAAACAUUUGUUCUGUUGAAAAAAAAAAAUUAUAUUUAUUUAAUUGAUAAAAAAAAAUUGAAUAAAAAAAAUUUCACACAACUUGAAUUUUUAUUUUCCGCCAAAAAAAAUAUAAAAAAUAAAAAUUUCAAUUUAUUUUCAAAUCCAAAAAAAUCAAAAAUAAUUUUUAUACCAAAAAUGAUUUUUCAACGCGGAACCAAACAUGAAACACCUCUCAAAGACCGAGAGAGAUAGGGAGAGAGAGAGAGCGAAGGGGGGUCCACCAUAAUAACAUCAGAUCAAAAGGGACAUGACAUAUGGUCCUUCGGUACCGACAGGUUGACCAUAAGUCCAUAUACGUCAUCAGCUCUCAAGUUCGGAGUCCCAUCAGCGAUCUAUUUGAGCCCAUUUGCAAUGAUUAUAACGUUUAAUUUACAGAUAUAAAGUGGAAAAGAAAAUUUUGUUUCACUGGUACCGCAGAGCACAAAUGCCGCAAACAAGAGUCAAAGAAAUGCAAGGUGCCAACAAGCCAUGAUGACCAAGUAAAAAUGGACCACUCUGGCCAGGGUGUCCACNUUUAAUUGAAUAAAUUGAAUACAUCUAAACAAGAUAAAUCUGUACUUUAAACCUUGUGAAAAUUACAGCUAUGGACCGUGCAAUUUAAAUUUCGAAUUUAAAGUAAAUAUGAAGUAUAGAGUUUCAGUAGAAUAAGUUAAAAAAGCUUGGACAAAUAAAUCUGGACCGCAAAGUAUGACUUUGGACCGUUAAGUUGAGAGAGUAAAUCUGGAUCAUCGAAUAAAUCUAGACUAUGUAAGAAUAAAUUUGGGCUGUGGAGUUUUAUGAAACAUAUUGAAUGAAUCUGUAUAGUAGAGUAUGUUUUAACCUCAAUCUAAUAAAUCUAGAAGAAAUAAAUCUAAACCUUGGAGAAAAAUAUAAAAUUUAAGUUCAGAAUAAAUUUGAAUCUGCAGUAGAGUUUCCUACUUCACAAUUGCGCAACUUGAUAUUGUUAAAUAUAUUGGAUAUUCUAAACCUAGUUGCUUUACAUUUAUAGUUAACUUUAUAUUUAAAAAAAAAAACGAAAAUAAAUAGUAUACAGUAUACUAUAUUUCUCGCUCUUAAAAAAAUUCCAAAUUAUCUUUUAUGAUGAAUAAAAUAUGUAUACAAGAUGACUUUAAGCUACAACAUAUCUCGAAGCUUUAGGUGUCAAAUCCAAGCCCUAGGUAACGUUGAUAAGUGUCAUUUCACGAAGAAAAUGCUAAACGUUGGAUCCGUUGGAGCGGACAAAAAUUCUAUGGGCAGCAUGCGGCACGCUGCCGGAUGUCCACCACUGCUCUCCCAAUAAUGGGGAGAGCAGUGGAACUUUCUGGGCGCACCUGGUGCAUCUAUACCAGGUGCACCAUAAUUGUAAUUUUUUAAAUUUUUUAAAAUUGUAACUUAAUAUGUUAGCAUAUAUGUUAUGAUUUAAAAUUUAUAUGGUCUAUAAUUCAUGAUUAUCGAUUUAGAAAAUUAAAAUUUUAAAAUAAAUUUAUUUUUGGUUUCAUGGAAUAGCAUGGAUAAUUUUUAUUAUUCCUAAUUUUUUUUCAAAACCAAAUAGAAUUUAAAAUUUUAAUUUCUACAAUGAUAACUAGUAAAAAAAAUAAAUAAAUUAUUACAUAAAAUUAUAAUUUUAAAAACUAAAAAUUUAAAAUUACAAUUAUGGUGCACCUGGUAUAGAUGCACCAGGUGCACCCAGAAAGUUCCAGUGCUCUCCCCAUUACUGGGAGAGCAGUGGUGGAUGGGCGCCGCGUGGCACCUGUGCCAUGCGGCGCCCAUCCGGCAGCGUGCCCAAACUAAUUAGUUUGGGCACGCUGCCCAUAGAAUUUUUGUCCCGUUGGAGCGUCGCGACACACCGCAUUAAUGCAUAAAAUAAUAUAUUAACACUUCACUAUAGUCGAUUAAAAUAUAUAUAAUUAUUUAAUUUUAAAAUUAAAAAAACUUAUAAUUAAAGAAAUAUAUACAAAAAUUUAUAAAGUAGUCUUAUAUACGUAUAUUAUAAAGAAUAACCUUUUUUAUUAAUUUUUUUUAACUUUUAGUAUUUAUACAGCUAAAUUAUUUUAAUAAUUUUGUUUUAAAAUUCAAUCAAACUUAAGAGUUUUGAUAGUUAUUUUAUAAAUUAAUUUUUAACUAAAAUUUAAAAUCGGAGAAAUUAUUUCAAAUUAAAUAUAGGUGGGGUGUCUUUAAUUACUUUGUUAAAAUUAAUUUUCUCCUAAGUUAAAUUUAAGUCCAACAUGUAUUUUUUAAGUAAUAUUCUAAGCUCCAAUUCAGAUUUUAGAAACACAAUCAAUUAAUGAAUUGAGCAAUGAAACAUGAUAUACAAAAGUCCACUAAUACAUGCUAGCAAUAGUACUUAGGAGAAAAUCCGCGAAAAUCCGAUAAGUAUAUGUAAUAUACUGAACUUUAGUAAAUUGCGAAGUUCGUGUAUGGGAAUGAUAAUUGAAACCAUCCUACAUGUUCUAAAGAGUUUGGAGAAAUUGGUGACCAAGUUUGGGUGUGAUCGGAAUGUGAGAAGCAAGAAAGUGCAUUGCUGUGGCCCUAUCUUCGAAUUUCUGCAUUGUGUACCGGUACAAUAUCAAUGUUGUACCGGUACAGCAAGCAGCAGUGGCAGCAGCUGCGUGGCAGUAGGGAGAAUUUGGUCAUUUCACUUCCCAAGCUUUUCUACAAGCUCCCAGCUCGACCCCUGAUGUUCAGAUUAGCUUGCUGGAGCUUGGCAACAGGGGUUUGAAGCUCUUCUUUNUAAAUAAGUUUUUUAUAAUUGAGCUCGACUUUAUUAUUUUUUUACUAAAAAUCAAAUAAUAAAUAAAUAUAUUAUAUAUAUAAUUAUUUAUUUAUAUAUAUAAAUAUAAAUUAAAUAAAUCAUAUAAAUAAAAAAUAUAUAUAUUCGAGUUGUUAUCGUGCCAAACACGAGAAAACUAACUCCAGCUUGUGUUUGGCUCGUUUAUUAAACAAGUUGAAAAAUUCAAUUCAUGUUCGGUUCGUUUGCUAAAUAAGCGAUUCAAUCUCGAAUUCAUUUCGAGCCGAACACGAAUUGGCUCACGAACAACGAGCUGAAUUGCAACCCCUAACUCUGACCGGCCAAACCCGAUCCUAAUACGAUUCAACUUAUAAGAGUUGGCUCCUAGAAAUAAUACCUGAUAAUAACAAAUUGGGUUUAGAUUUGAUUCGGUCCUUUUUGGUAGCUUUCAUUGAUUUGAAGUUCAAUCUGAUGUCUUAGUGGUAUGAUUUUUUAGUAUUUUAUUCAGACCUCUUUACUUUUUAAAAUAACCUAUGUCCUUAAACUAGAAAGACCACGUUAAAAUUAACUACACACGAAACAAUUCAACAAUUUGCUAUUAUUCAUAAGUAUUCACUCUAUAAUAUAGAGGACGGAGCUAUAUUUAUCCUACAGCUUGGUACGUGCCCAAUAAAAUGCAACAACUCUGCAUGUAGAAUAGAGAGAGCAGAAAAAUUAUGCAGACCAAGGUUGAGAUAGAGAGAGACCUGUGCAUGGACAGUUGUGGAAUGCCACAAUCUACAGUUCGUAUACCAACACCAGAAGCGAGGAUGGGGCCGAUCGUAGAACCGCAACCCAUAUCAUUUCUUACAACAAAUUCCUACGCAUGAAUUUCUCCAUGUAAGUCAAGUUCGCGAAAUUGCAGGUAUCUAAUUUUGAGUCCAACGUGUAUUUGAGAAAUCAAGCAGCAAGCAUGAGGGUUGUUUAAAGAACUAACAUGUUAUCACAAAUAUUUUGAUGGAAAUUUACUGCGUCACACUUGCAUUACAUCAUCAAUAACAAGCCAAUUACAUCUCUCUUCUUGAAAGAAAAAUACAACAAAAAUAUUUUUCUAUUAACUAUGAUUGAACAGGUGGACCCAAGGGAUAUAAUUUUAUUGGUUAGGUACACCAUGUCAGCAAUAUAAAUUGGGCAUUCUAGAUCUUUUCAAUGUUUUGCUACAAAUGUUUAUUAGCAUAGUAGAUUGACACGAGUGGAAGUAGCGAAAUUUGCAGUGACACCUAGAUUUCAAGAGCAAUUAACAGCAGUUACAGAAAGAAUCUGAAACAAAUUCCCGUAAAUGACUGGUGUUACAUGUUUUGUGAGUAACAAGUAGAAGCACAAGCUACUCAUGCAGACAUAGCAUUUUACUUUUCAUUAGUUUCUAACCAAGAUCAUGCCUGUGCAUCCUGCUAUUCUAAGGUCUAGGGAGAAUCGAAUAGCCUUAGAUACACAUUUGAACAUUCUUCUGUUCAACUCUACAGAGAUAAUUGUUCUAGGCAAAGCCGAGCACCACCAGAGACCUAUGUUCAAAAGGGGCAAUCUAAGCAAAAUUCAUAGAGAUGUCUGUUUUUGUUUAUGUCUCCUAAUUUGACAUGUAAAAUAAAGUUUCUUUCCACCCCUCAAAUGUAGGAAGUAAACAGCAACCUCAUGAGCUGCUUUCAAAAGGUUCUGAAAUAACUUAGUUCAGCCAAUGAUGUUUUCACUACCCUAAAAUAAAUAACUUGCCACAUAGUAACACAACUAGACACUUCAUUUUAUCCAAAUAACAUGCGGAGAGAAGAAAGUAAGUAAAAGCAGCAAAUGUAGAGUCCAGUCACAGAGAGAGUACCUGAACUGGAAGGUUAUGCAUACUUGCAACUUCCUUGAAAAGAAAAGCCGUUACAGCACUUGUGGCGUAGCGUUGAUUAGCAUUAUGCUUGAUAACAAGCCCUUUUUGUAGCUCUGGCCUGUGGUGUUCUUCAUAUUUAUCAGGAAAGUUUGGGUGCAACCCAUGAGCCAUGUCUGCAGACACUGUAAUGAGAAAAUAGAGAGAUCUCAUAUUUGACAGCUUAUUGAAUUAUCAUAAAGUACGAAGUCGUCAAAACAUAAAGACAUACCAAGAAAGGAGGAGUGAAUUGCACGCUCCAAAGCACUCUCUCCCAUUGAUUGAUGAGAUAAGUUGUCAACAAUACGCUUCAUAGCCUGGAACAUUGUUGGUGCUCCUGCUCCUUGUGGCGAGUUUGAUCCAACCUGAAAAUUGUCACUUAGAUAUAUGUGACGUCAUUAAAAAAAAUAAAUGAUUGUUUUAAACUUCACAGUAUGAGCAAGAUAUUAACACCAGCAGGCCAGCAGGGGAAAUUUAAUAGUGUUUGCUAUAGACCACAACAUGACAUCUAUUUGACAAAUCAAAGAGAAACCAUCAACUUCUGAGUCCCUUCCGCCGAUCAUAUAUCCAAAGGGUUUGUGCUAAGGCCAGCAUUUUAAUCUUUUGGCAGAGGCUCCCGGAUAUCUUAUUUGUGUUGUAUAGCCAAUUCUAAACUUGGUGAGAAGAGGCUUGGAUUGUGUUAGACCUUUAACUACACUCUCCAAGAAUAUCUUAUAUUACCCGCCACUUCUUUUGCGCAUUUGGAUAAGCGGCCAGAAGAUCUAUAUAUAAAUAUCACACUCUUUUAACAUGUUGUACUCCAAAUCUUUGUUGUUCUCCACCUUACCUCCAAACAUUCCUUCUGAACUGAGAAUAAAGUAUUUGAAAAAAGGGCCUAGGAAAGUAGCAAGGAGAAUAAAUAUAUAACCAGGAACAUGCUGCAUAAAACAGUUUCAGAACAGACAAUGAGUCAAAAUUACAUUCAGACACAUAUACCAACACUUGAAUAUUGAUUACAGUAGUAUACCUCUUCAUUAUCAAAUAAAGCAAUCAUCCUAAUGGCCUUCUCAUUUGACAGAUCCCCAGGUGAUUUACAUGAGUCAACAAGAGAUCUGAGCGCGCAAUAACUCGAAGCAAGAUUAUCAAGUCUACCAGAGAAGAUAAACUCAUUAUUUCCACCGCCAAGACAGCUAGGCUGUGUAUCACAGACAUUCAACUCCAUACCCACUAUUUCAUCAGCAUUACAUUUGAGUUCCUCUGCCAAGACCUGUAAAUACACAGAUCAGAUUGGCAAACCAAAAUUAUGGACUACCUAGAAUAGGUAAAUCAUGAAAAACCACAUGUCAAGUUAAUUAAAGCAAAAAAAAAAAUUGAUAUAACCUUCAAAAGAAGUGCGUGAUGUGCAAUUUUGGGGGAAUUUGCCAAACUGACUUUGUCCUCGGAUUUGGUUUGAGCAUCCUCAAGCUUUGUUGCAAGAAGUGGAAUAAGGUGAUUCUCUAGGUUUGGCUUAAAACCUUCAGAGUUCACUGAGCUAGAAACAAGGAUUGGUAAGUCAGUAAAAACAACUUUCCACCAAAAAAGAAAAAUAGUGUUAAAAUAAGAUAUUAGAGCACGAAUGGGAGCAAUAUAAAACUAGCUUUGCCAGGAAAUAUAUGAACGUGCGGUGAAGUGCAAUAUAUCAAAGGUGUAACUCUAGGGAAAAUCUUGAGAAACAGAAUUAAUAUAUUUAGAAGGAAACUAGCAGCAACCGGUCAAGAUGUAUGGCUAAUGUCGGUACGCGUAGUAAAGGCCUUCUCACUUUGACAAGCUUAUGCAUGAAUGAACCAUCACCAGCUUUAAGAAUUACUCUUCCUGCUAAACUUAGAUCUCUAUCAAACCAUGUGUGCCAUAAGCCACCUCCAUAUGUCUGGACAUUUACCAUCAAGUACCCAGAUUUGGUUGACGCAGACCUUGGUUUCAGUUUUAAACAUGGGCUAUCUGUAUGGGCAGCAAUCACAUUAAACCCACCGCCAACUCUAUACCUGCAUAACAAAAUAUAUCAAUGGCACCUGUGAUGAGGAAGUAAAUUAUGAAUAGAAUAUAAGAGACAAUAAAAUAGGAUGUAGACAUGAGGAUAGUACCAAUGCUUCAAGGAAUCAAUCAGAUUCAAUAUUACGAAAAUAAAUGGUACAAUCUAAUAAAGUAUGGAUGGUUAAAGGUCUUCUGAUUCAUAUACAGCCAAAACUUAUGGAUAAUGUCAACAGGAUGUAAAACCACUUCAUCCGGAAGAUGGCUAUAGAGAUGGAAUACAACGUUUCCGAGCUGAGUGCAACCAGAAAUCCAACAUUAUCUAACUCGUAUUAACUUACAGAACAUUCAAUACUACAUACUACACUACAGUAGUAUACUAAUAAAGUAUCAUCAUUUUUUAAAUAUUACAAGCACCUCUGAAUAAAAAAUAUGAAACAUACAGAAAAAGUGUAAGAAGCAUCCUAUGUUCAACCGAAUGAUUAGAAAUCAAACAAGGAAGCCGACUUUUCGUGGGCUACCUUGUAUGGAACAACAACAAGUAAAGUGAAUCCGUUAAUUUAAUCGUUUACAAACCACAAAGAAGCAAUGAUUGUGUCCCUGAUUAGAGUACAACAGUAUAUGUAACAAAUUAAUUCAAUAAAUUCAUCAAUCAGCUACCCAUAAAGUGUGUAGAGUAAGAUGAUUAAAGAGAACUUACCUUUCUCCGAUUGCGAAAGCGACCAACGAGGACAUGUUACGAGUAAAGAAGUAGCGCCCACCAGGUUGGAGGUCCCAAUCAUCGUUCUCGUUCAGCAACUUGAAUCCAGCAGCGAGUAAUUGCCUCUUCGCUUCAGCUGAUACAACAAAACAUCACCAAAAUACUCAUCAAUUUCACCACGAGAAACCAAAUCAAACAUGUCGUUGGCGUACCAGUGGCGUGGAAUUGCGUCCAUGAUUCGUUGAGGUAAUCCAACAGAUCGCCCACGACAGACGUCGAGCUUUCCCCAGUGCUCGAAUCUAGCUGCGGGAUGAACGAUAAAGAGAGAGAUGAGAUGAGAUGAGAUGAGAUGAGAUGAGUGAUAGAGGGGGGGUGUGUUCUAGGGCACUCACUUGAAGAGGACGAUGAUCGUCGGAGGAGGAGGAGGAGGAGAGGAGACGAUACGAGGAGAGCGUGUUCGAGCGGCGCCAUGAGCGAAGGUGCGAGGAGGAGAGAGGAGGAGGAUGAUGUAUUCGGGGAAACGAAGAAGAGAGGGGAAGAGAACGAUGCGAAGGAGGCCUCAGUAGUUGGAGACGACUCAACGCCAUGGUUUACGAGCUUGCUCUCCAAGCAUCGAAGAAGAAGGGAUGGCCGGAGAUUUGGAUAUCGCCGCAAUUGGGCUGCUGAUGGGCCGUGGCCCGUCUUCAACCUGCUUUUACCUCAGACAUGGGCUUACGGGCCGAAUCUGCGCUCGGAUCCUGUCUCGACCCAAGCCCGUCAAAGUUUAGGCCCUCUUUUUUGUCGGGCCCAGGUACACUUCAACUCAUGAAUUAAUAAUUGCAGAUUAAAUCGAGUUAGGUAUUUCAUUUUAAAAAUUAAAGUAGCGUAGAAGCCUAAUAAAUAAUUAUAGUACUAUUUUCCUGGUUCUUCGGCAGUUCACCCAAUCCAAACAGUCCAACUUCUUGGUAACUGGAAUUAAGCCCACAAAGUUGGAAAUUGAUGUGCACACGUAAGACUCGGGCACCAUCUGCUUGAAAACUGCAUGAAAAAGAGCCAAAAAAAAAUAAAUAAAUAAAAAAAAGUGGUCAGGGGAAGUUGCGGAGGGGUGUUAAAUAAAAGUUUUCUAUGAGACUUGUUUCAUCUGAGAAUAACAUGAGGUGAUCGUUGCUUUUGUAAUUGAAAAAGGUUAGUUAUAAUUUAAGUUGUUCCAAGAGAUGAACUUUGUCCUCGAUCGCUAGUACUUAAUUUGCAGUAUAAAUCCAAAAACAGCAAUAAAACAACAUUUUUAGAGCCGGAAAAUAACACAAUUUUGGCAUUCAGCGUGGAGAUUACCAACAACUCUGUACCCGCAAGCUCUUUCCCUCGUCAUGUUCAUACGGCAUGCACUUAACAAUGAAUGGAAGGCCCACCACACAACUACGAAGCCGAAGAGCAACUCACCCAUAAUCGUUUUGUUUCCAACCAUUUCAUCUUUCCUACCUUCGCCACAAUUAACUUUAGUCAAAACCAUUAAACAAUUCUGAUUAGUUGAGAGAAGGUGAGUGGAACCACCAGUUUCACCACCAACCAAAAGAACCAUCUAUAUAAUAAUCCACAUCACAAUAAAUUCACAAGAAGCAAAAGGGAAAUAAACAACAGAAAUGGCCACCACUUUCACAGAGAGUGAGCACAAGGCUACCAAAAAGCAAGAAGUCACAGUGGUGGAUAAAGAUGAAGAGCACCAGAAUGACGAAGAAGAGUUCUUCGAGCUCGAUUUGGAGGUGCUUAACCGCAUAGAGACACUGCAGUAUUACGAGCACCGUCAGACUACCGCAGAAGCACUUCUUGCGAAUUGCCUUCUUCCUGUUGAGUAUAUAUGCAAUGCAAUACCGAUCGAAAGCAGCAGCAGCAGCAGCAGCAGCAGGAUGAAUGUUCCCUCAAAGAGGUUUGCCUACACACAAUAUCCAACGGUUGAUUCUCGUUGCGGGAGUUUCGAUGGAAGAAACACACGGAAGGUGAGCUAUGGUCAUUUCUGAACUAAACAGAAGUGCGAUAUAUAAUUCAAAGCGCACUUGAUUAAAUUCAAACACACUGUUAGCAUGAAAGAAGUGAUCUUGUUUGUACUUUAGUUUGCCUCCACUAUGCAGUGCUACAUAUAUAUAAAAGGUAUUUGCAAUUUUAUGACAUUGAAGAGAAGUGCUACCAUGUACAUAAAGUAGCUAAUUUUCCAUACGGAGCGUGACAGAGAUGCAACAAAAGCGAUUCAUUUUCGAGUCUAAAUACAGAAGGAAAACCAGUAUCUUCUGCUAUCGAUAAUAAGAACAAUUUUGGUUAAUUCAUCUAAGAUAGAUGAGUCAAGCAAGUCUGUCACACUCUAGACAUCCAUAUCUAUACAUUAAUUUUCAUAGAAUUUACCACAUGACAAUAUUUUUUCAUUCUUACCUUUCCUCCCCUUCUCACUACCUGUUAGGAGUCGAAUUCCGUCCUCUUUGACCCGGACAAAAAUCUUCCUUAGGAAGCGCGUCGGCUUCGGAUGGUGACCCUCGAAGUUUACCCCCUUCGACUGGAUCACUGGAUCAAGUGAUUUAGCUGAUGAGGGAUCGGAUCAGCCGAGUUCGAAAAUUUUUAUUGUAGAAUCGGUUCGGCUAGAUGAGCCGAAUUAAUAAAAUGCACAGAGUUUUAGGUCGGCUGAUGAGCCAAAUUUAUGAAAUGCACAUCAGUAAUUGGUCGGCUGAAAGAGCCGAAUGCUUUUAUAUAUUAAUAAAACAGAAUGUGCUCGAAGGGCAUACAUACUCUGAAUAUCUAGUUUACAACAGAGUGUGCCCGUGAGGCAUACAGACUCUAGAGAUUUAACUCAAAAACUACUUCUAGGAAAGCAGUAAAUGCGGAAAAGAAAAAGAUUACAUAUAGACUACUCCUAGAAAAGCGAUAAAAUUGUAGAGGACAUAAAGAUGGUCUUCUGGUUCAGGAAGGAGAAAGACCCCCAUUGCAGGUUUCGAAAUUACUAUUUAUAGUAAUAUCAACCCACAUUAUUGGUUGGUUGAAAAUAGUGGGGGGAGUAGUUGUAGCCAUGAUCGUGGAAGUUACGCCAACUUCUCAUGGAAGUUAUGCCCACUUCUCAACCGUUCCUAUCUAAAAGUUCUCAACUUUCAGACGCCUUAUUGCCGACUCCUGGUGUACCACGUAUCCUUAUUUCUUUAGCUUAUACGUGGGUUAGGUCGGCAAGCUAAUUUUUUCGCAUCAACACUACUUAUGUUUUGCCUUUCUACCUCCCAUCUUCACUCAAUACUUCGUCUUUCCACCUGCUUACUUUCUAAUUAAUGUGUUGAAACAAUUUAUUGUCAUGUAAAUUAAUCGCUUUCACAAAAAAGAAGAAGAAGAUCUAUUUAUACUUUUUUUUUCAUACUACUUAUAUUUAUUGAUACCUCAUGGCAAGUCAAAAAAUUUUAAAAUUUUUAUUUUAUCAAUUUUCUAUCUUUUAUACUAUUAGUCCGACACAAUGCGUUGAUAACUUCACUGGUAUUUAUUCAUAGCAUUUCUAUCACAAAAAAAAAGUUUACCUUUUGCUGCUGUUUUAUUACAAAACUUAUUAAAUAUUUCAAAAGAAAAGGACCGGCCUCACGAAAAAUAGAGUCAAGAAAUUGAAGUGAUUCAUUCUGUGCAAUCCACCAACUAAUAUUUCACGCUCACCAGGAAUCUUAAACAAUUGAAGAUAAAGGAGUGAAGCCAUAAAUUUCAUUAACCGGGAUUUGAGUUAACUUUAACGGCAUGUUUGGUUCACCUAUUUUAGACUAUGAAAUCGGAAUAAAAUUUAUCGAUUCCGAUAGUUGCCGUCUCUUUUAUAGAAAUCGAAUUCCGAUUCUCAUUCCAUUUCGGAAUGGAAAUGGCUAAAUCCAUUUAUGAUCCAAUCUGGCUUUGAAUUUCAGAUUGGCUUAUUCCAAAGUAAACUAUUCAAAAUUUUCUUUCACCGACACUAUUCAAGAUUUUCAUUUUGAUUUUCAUUCUAAUAAUGAACCAAAUAUUUUUGAAUAAUUCGCCAUUUCAUUUUUCAUCUCAAAACAAUUCAAUUCUAUUUUUCAUUUCUAUUCCAAUUACAAACCGAACAUUCCCUAAAUGUUAUAUCAUUUCUGUUAGAAAUAAAAAAAAAGAAAAAUAAAUUAAUAAAUUAAACAUAUAAUAUUUUAAUUCUCUCAUGGUCUUACCUCGCGCUUUAACUUAAAACUUAUAUUUUUAAUACUCUUACAAUUUCAUUUAAAAAAAUGUGUUUAGCCAUGGCUAUUGUAAUGCAUGAGUGAUUUUUCUUUUUCUUUUUCUUUUUUUUUUUGAGAGAGAGAGAGUGAAAGGCAACACAUUAUGUGCUUUAUUUUCUUUAAAAAUGAUUGAUAGUUGGUAUUUGAAAUUUCAAAUUCGAAGUCUAGUUAUUUUAUAUUUUAGUGAUAUUUAUUGUUAAUAAGAGAAAGAUUAAUAGGCGGAGGCGAGUGAAAUGGUUUUGACCAGGCUGGGCCAGAUUUUGGGUGGAAAAGUUUUUGUGCAGAACUAGCGUGGAAACAUCUUUUAGAUCUGACCCUGUUGCAAAUUGAUUGGGUUAGAUCCGGAUCAGAUAAUAAAAUUCUCAAGCCAACACCAAAGAAAAGAAGAAGUCAGGCCCACUCCAAUCUUCUCAGGACUCGGAUUUUCAGGCCCGGCCCUGCCCAACAAACCGGGUUCGAAUCUAACAUGGCUCACAUAAAACUGUGCGGGUCAAACACUAUGCCCGGAAUCAUAUAGAUAGCUGCUACUAUACAAAGACGAAUCAAACGUAUGUUAUUAAUUGUAGUUAAUGAGAUACAAAAACACGUGUUAAGUAAAUAUUAUUCCAAUAAACUUCCACUAUUGUUUUUUUUUUUUUUUUUUUGAGAGAGAAAGAGAGCGCGCUACCCGCUUCAUAUUCAGUAAAAAAGUAAAUUAAGCAGUUAUGGCAGACCAGUAUCACUCAAAUAUUACGCCGUUGGUUGGUAUCCUUCUUACCAAACAAUGGAUACACGUGGGUAUUAAAGAAAAAUAAAAAAAAAAUUCUAAAAUUGGGUCGUGGUUCUCCAGAGCUAGGUGUGGUAGUACACAGGAGCUACCCAAAGUAGGCCGUGGGCCGUGGUACUUGGGCCGGCGCGCUGUCGCUGUCGCUGGUGGCCCGUCGAGGGUACGCACGGGCGGAAUAGAGAAAGGAGGGAUGAGCGGAAUCGGAGGCCCGUAGGCCGAAACGUGGGGGGGGGGACCGAGCUCAUGAGUCAUGAUGCUCUCCCCCAACUCCGCUCGCACUCCGCAAGGGUUCGACACGCGCCCUCCCUUCACGUGGCGCGUAUGACGUCCAUGUACUCCCCCUCUUCUGGUUCCUCUGUGAUUCCUCAUACGACAACUCAUCGACCUCUGCGCGCGGAUGUGGACAUAUGUGUUACUGUGUACGCACUUCGAUCGCCUCUGUCGAAAGAGAUACAAAUCUUUUUUUCUUAAUUUAUUAUGAAAGGAAAAUGUUUCGAUUGGCUAUAGUGCAUAAUAUAAUGAGAUAUAUAUAUUACUUGUACAUAUUCUCGAAGGCCCCGUUUAAUUGGGAGGAUAAGCGGAGAUAACAAAAGUUAUUUCCGCUAUUCCGCCAAACGGAAUGAAAACUGGCCGGAAUAUUUUAUCCCGAUCAAACCUUGCUAUUUCCGGUUAUCCCGGAAUAGCAAGAAAUUUGUUAUUCCACCAUUUUGGUAGAAUAGCGCUAUUCCAAUGCUUUAUUUCAAACUUAAUUAAAAUUAUAAAUUGAAUUAAAACUAAAGUAUAUAAAUAUAAUAUAUUAUAUAUUAUAAUACAUUAUUUUUAUUAUAAAAUUAUUAAUUAUACUAUAUUAAUACAUAUUAUUUAUAUUUAAAUAUUAUAAUAAAAUUUAUAAUAAAUUAUAUUUAAGUAUUAUAAUAAAUUCUUUUUAUUAAAUUUAAGUUUAAGUAGAAUUUUUNGCAAACGGGCUUCAUUACCAUCCAUUUGUUUUCGAUGAUAGAGCAUUCAAAUUGACGAUCGGUACCGUUGAAAACGAUCUAUACCACUUCAAGUAUCUAGAAAUUAAAUUUCAUGCUUUUCCGAUAUUGUUCUCUUGUUCAUCAAGUGGGCAUAAAAAUGAACGGCUGAAAAUGAAUAUUUUUUAAAAAGUGAUGAUAGAAAUUUUGUAAUCAAGAUCGAGAGUAUAGAUCUUGUUCUAAAUAGUUUAAAAAAUUUUAUAACCAAAAUUCAAUUGAUUUGAAUAGCUUUACACUGUUAAACGAGAAAACGCCUCAUAUCGACCAUUAAAAUUACAAAUUUUGAAACCUUUUGAUCAUUAUGUCAAUGAUGUUCAAAAGAUUUGAAAUUUGAUUUCUAAAUACUUCAAGUGAUAUAGAUCAUGUUCAAUGGUGCCGAUCGUCGAUUUGAAAACUCCAAUAUCGAAAAUAAAUGGGUGGCAACGGAGCCCGUUUGCUACUGAUAGUAUUCCAACUCAACUAUAUAUAUAUAUAUAUAUAUAUAUAUAUAUAUACAAACACUUUAGGGUAUAUAUGCAGGAUUGCUUAUUCAACGAAGAUUUUUUUUUUGUCUCACUUUGCGAAAGUAAGCAAUUUUGCUUUAUUUUUACAUUAUUUUUUUUUUCUUUUUGUAGAUUUCUUCUAAAAAUGUAUGAUAAUCAGACAUUAGAAAUAUUGCUUGUACGUCCGCAAUUAGGGUGCAAAUCUUACCCUACUCAUCCAAGGGUGCAAACACUACUUUUAGAUUUUUAAUAUAAAAAAAAGAUUAACAAGACUAUUGUAAAAAUAUUAACUCCCAAAUAAAUAAAGUAUAAAUUUUACAUCCACUUUUUAGAUUCUUUAGACAUUGUGAGAAAGCGCCCAUUCAGCAAUAGCCUAAAAUGAGAUUGGCGCACGAGUGUAAUACAACGGGCGCUUGUCGAGUUAGCAAGACAUAAUAAGUCUAAAAUGUUGUCUUUUGUGCUAUUUAAAAAACAUGAACAUUAUAAAAAAUUGACAUAUGAAUAGAUCCUCAUUUAAUUGCCUAAUUUCCAGCUGAGCCAAUCUUUCUCUGGCACCUGGAUGUAAUUGACCGAGCAUCCAAUGUCAGAAUUAUCCAGUGAUAUCCUAUUGAGUGAUUGAGUGUCAAGAUUUUUUAUAACAAUUAAAAGUUAGGAGUAUGAUCAGACGUAUAAAAUAGAAUAGCAUAUUCGACCUUCAAAUCAUAUUUUCGGAAUAACAUAAUUAAUCUUGUAAGUAACAUUUGAUACCCCAUACCGACCGUUCCUAUAGUAAGUGGCAAAGGACUUGGUGGUUGGUACCCGAGACCCAAGUUUGAAUCCUAGUUGAUUCAUAUUUCUAGCUAAGUUUAUUUCUAAAUGAAAUAAACGAAGCGGGUAACGUGCUACCUAUCUCUCUAAAAAAAAAAAAAAAAAAACAUUUGAUACCCCACCACAUCAUGAAGACUAAGACUUUAUAGGGAACAAAAAUCAAACUCUUACUUUGUAAUUAUAUAAGAAAUUUUUUAUACCAAAUAAAUUAUCAUUGAUUUAUUCCGAUACAAGUUUUUCUUUUGUUUUUUGUGAGGAAGACAGCAUACUAUCUGCUUCGUUUAAUGUACAGUAAUUGACAAGCUACCCAGCCUAUUUCUUAAAUUCUUAGUCUCGCAUAUUUCCAAGAUACUAGAUUUGUAACUCAUUGGCUAAUUUUCAAGAAAGAUUUUCUCUCUUAUAUAUUUGGAAACUUAUUAGCCAAUGAUUUGAGUGAUUUGGGAGGAGUUCUAUAUAUAGUACGACGAAAUCAAACAAUUUGUGCUCCUUGAUUCUGGUUUAGUAAAAUCUGCCUAUCAAGCUAAUUACAAGGAUAGCCUCUGCCUAUCAAACUAAUUACAAGGAUAGCCGUUAAAUGCCAUAAAAUAAAUCCUGAACACGAAAUUUUUUUUUUUUUUUUAGAUAGAUAGGUAGUACGCUAUUUGUUUCGUUUAUUUCAUUUAAAAAUAAACUUAGCUAAAAAUAUGAAUCAACUAGGAUUCAAACUUGAGACCUAGGUACCAACCACCAAACCCUUUGCCAUUUGCUCUAGAAACGGUUAAUUUGAGCAUGAAAAGUUAAUAAUGACAAAUGAGAGUAAAAAUGAUCAUAUUUAACCAAUCAUAGUUCUUGGGGGAGAUUUUUUUUACAAAAAAAAUCCAGAGAUUCGAUAAGCUUGAAACCUUUGAAUUAUAAAUCAAUUAAACUUUAUCUUGAUUUCCUACCAAAGUAGGCACUUGUGAUUCUCAUGCUGUAAGAGGAAAUUGACGUUGUUAUCGUCUCAUUCUAUCCAAUCAGAACAAGUUCCAAAUGAUGGGAAAAGAGAAGUCAUUUGCGCCCAACGGGAAUCGAUGCUACAACUAUUAGCAAAUAAAUUACCAAGGAAGAUUCUUCAGGUACCUAGCAGUGUAUUUUUAUAUAUUGUUGUUGGCCCUAUUAAAUAUAUUGCAACUUUGAGCUGCUUAAUUAUACGAAAUAAUUAAAUACGUUUCAAAUCAAGCACAAAAGCGCAUGCAAUAAUAUAUAAGGACGAUAUGUUAAGAGUAUAUAAUAAUUUUCUUAGUUAAAAAGAAAAAUGCUUUGAAUUCUUUAUAUUUAGUUUUAUAUAUAUUACUACUGUGUUCGUAAAUCUAAGGAUGCACACAUUAAUUAGAAAAUUUACAACUUAUAAUAAUAUAUUAACAAUGCAUAAGAAGUACCUAUGGUGGUGCUCAAUAAACAAUUAAACGUAGUGGAGGUGGAGAGUUGCAGCAUUUGCCCACACGAGGACAAGGUCGAGAAUCGAGAUUGAGAGAUCGAAAGAAUCGAGAGAUCGAGAUCGAGAGAACGAGAGAAUCGAGGGAAACACAUAGCGAACAGUGUAAAACAGUUAGAAGCCCUGUGAGUGCUUCGGAAAUCAAGCACCACGAUAUCUAAUCAUAAGAUACCGAAGAGAUUGUACACAAGGAAAAGUAGCAUAUCCCAGUCAAAAUCAAGGACCGGGAAACAGUAAAGUAAAGAAUACAUUUGACACGGGGUGGAUCGCAUGUUUCUCUGUCUCCCUCCCGGCUUUGCGAUCGACGCGUCCCCUUUCCCAAAAGAACAAAAAAAGAAAAAGAAGAAGAAGUACGUACGCUUCUCCACACAAUACAUGCUAAUUCAACCCGCACACUGCUCAACAUUACUACACUUACACAAUGCAUGUUAACCAACUUUGAGUUCUAGGUAGAGUACACUAGCUUAUACAAUGCACGCUAGCCAUCUUAAUUUCAGUUAUAUAUAGGCAUGGAGAGACAGGGUGACAACAAAGGCCUUCAUGAGCUUGUAAUUUUAUUUUGCGUGAUAUCAUAUGCGGUUGUAGUUGAAGGAUGGUGAUGUAGGAGAAGAAUGGAAAGAGCGGUUUUAACGGCGGCGGGCGGCAGUCUCCCUCUGAGCGUUGAAGUAGACGGCAGCCACGGGGAGGCCGAGGUCGUUCUCCUCCGCAAAUUGACGGGUGCUGAAGUGAUCCCUGGAGGGAGGAGGGCUGACGGCCUGCCGCCGCUUCUGCUUGAAGAGGACGAAGAUGAACCUGUGGAUGCCUAUGUUGGGCCUUGGGCUCUCAUAGCUCACGAUCUCCCUCCCUGUGUACAGUACGUAGUACCAUUAAUUAAUUAAGCAUAUAUACCAAACUAUAGUUGCUUUUCGUCUUCCUCUAGUUUGGGAAAUAUGUGGCAUUAUUAAUUCUUAACAGGAAACUAGAGAUAAACACACAAGAGUGGAGAGAUGACCCACCAAAAGAAGCGUCAGUUGUGCCAGGAAUGUCGGUUACAAUCCUGUGCAAGGGUCAAGGGGAAUGGUUAAACACGUUGCCAUUGCCUUGAAAAGCAGAUAACUUUUCUUCAGUAUUCUUGAAAAGUUGAACUAUACCCAUGUUACAUGUUUGGAGGGUUUACAAAUUAAAGGCAAGUAGACAACACAACAUCAAUCUACGUGCAUUCAUGCAUGCAUAAUAAUUAAGAUACAUCUUUAAUUAAUACGUUUCUUCAUAUACCACACACAUAUUAAUAGAGGAUAUAUAUAUAGGGAACGGUUUAUAUUAGUUGUUAGGGUUUACCAGUGCAGGUGCUCCCUUAGGUAUGGAUCACUCGGACCCGGCACAUCUGGGUCUGUCAUAACCUGACAAGAAUGAAAAUAGAAGUAAAAAUACUAUAGAAGAGCACACACGUAUAUAUAAGAGAAAUUUUACUGGGAUCCUUAAACUUGAAAUUGAGAACUAAUAACUAUAUAUGUACAUGAUCGAUAUAGGCACGUACCAGUGUGAAGAACGAUCUCAUGUCUCCGCCUUGGACCUCAACUCUAGGUUUGGAUGCGACUGCGGAAGGGUAGAACUCAUGGCCAUUGAAGACCAGCUUGUUGGAAUUGUAGGUGACCACCAUCUUCAUGCUCGGCUCAAACGAGUCCAACACUUCUCCUAUCACCCUCCCAACAAUAAGAGGCUCCAGCAAUCUCGACAUGGUCGAUCGGUUAAUUCAGUCGUUCAAAGGUGAGAAAUAUAUAUAAACUAAUUAACAAGCUAUGUAUAUAUAUAUAUAUACAUAUAUAUGUAUAUGUAGGGUUGUGGAGGAAGUGGCUCGGUCGUUGCUAGUGGAUUGAGGAGGCUGUUUGCCUUUGAGAAGAAGGCUUCUUAUUGGGCAAUAUGAAAGUGCAAAGCCUCUAUUUAUAGCACUUAAGACAAGUACUGCUGUACAUCAAGUUCCAAGCUCAAAAGAGAACUGCGAAGCAGGAGCCACAAGUGUAGCAUUUUUAAUUAUAAUGGAAUAUAGAAGCUAAAAAGCAACAGGAUGAAUCUAUCUCGAUCCUACUGUUCGUUGAUAAACAAAAGAGGUCCCUUAAACCUGUUUUAUCUUCUACAAUGAACAGCUAAGUAAUCAAUUGCAUGCGCUCUUUCAAAAAAGAACUGCAUGCAUGUAGUAGCUAGCUCUUAAUUUCAGAAAGAACCUUUGUCUACUCCACUAAAAUGAUUAUCUACACUAGAUAAUAAACGCCGUUUAAUCAUGUAUUGAUUAGGUACAUUGUUAAGCUACCUAAUUAAUUAAAGUACGUUCGAGAUCUUUCAAUUAGUACUCAAAAUCGUGCCUAAAUGACUCGAAGGAUCAACUAAUUAUUAAUUCACACAUCUCGACGUGACAGGUAAUUAAGCAAAUUAAUUUAAUUAAUUAAUGAGGAAUAGCCGGAAAAGUAAAGUUCUUAACAUGAUAAUAAGUGCUUUCAGACUGAAACCGUAAAUUCUGCUUGAUUAAAAAGCCGCAAAAGAAUUUGAAAUUGGAGAUGGUUAAUUCGUUUAUUCUACUACUAACUUUUCUUACCAUUGGCCCAUAUUAAUUUGACGAGGGAACAGGUAAUGUGAACUCUCCAUAUGGAACCUUCCUAAUUAACAUCCAUUUAAUAUAUUGUUAAUUAGGAAAAGGAGGAUUCAAUAGCUGGAGCCUGUGAACAUGUAGAGCAAGCACCACACUGGAAGUAGCUGUUGCACUCUUUUUUUGUUAAGGUAAAAAAAGGUGAGUAGCUGAGUUGGGUGCUAUAGGAACCUUCCCAAACAGCACUGCACCCAAAUGACUUACCAUUAGUGGUUAUUAUUCUCUGAGAGAGGGGGAGGAGGAGGAGGGGAGAGCAUAAAAGGGAGACCCACCACCCCACAUAGUGAUAGUGGCCAUAGUGUUGAGAUGUCAUUUCAAAGUAAAGAGAUCCAUGUGUUCUUGAUAAGGAAAACAAAGGGGUUUAGUUUCUAUAAAUGGUGGAGCUAGCAAAGUACUUCUUUGUGGCAUUCCUCCACUCUGGAACAAAGAUUUUUCUUAUGUGUUACCAUGCACCAUGCACCUAUCUCAAGCAACACCCACCCAUAUUCUACCUGUUUCGGUGUCAAACUAUUAAUUUACUGUUUCAUAUUCAAACCACCCAAUAGAAACAGUUUUGGGUCUACCGGUGACUCUGGUCUCACAAGAUUAUUCUUUUAUUCCGGUGGCGACAUCCGGUGCUCGUGGGUACAAGGAAAGGGAAAGUCACUGUGGUGUGAAGGUGUCCGUGACGACAGGGGUAAAUGGUAGGUUUCCGUAGAAUAUAGGAAAAGAAAAAGUUUUUUUUUUGUGUGUUUUUUAUUACGUUGGAAUCUGUAAUGAGAUACGUGGGUUUUUCCCGUGAAAACCACGUACCCCUGAUUUUUUUUUUUCUACCCCUCCACUCUAUUCCGAGUUUCCUUUUCCCCCUCCAUUAAUUCCUCACAACGCACACAAGUACCCAACCUAAGGACAACUUAGGCAUUCUAAACAUCUCACAUAAACAAUCGAGCAGUAGGUUUCUAUUCCAUUACCUAGGCCAAAACCUAUCUAUCAAUGUAAGACAUUGUUUUUAAAGUCUAAAAAACAAAUACGAGUAAUUGAUAAGAUAAGACCUAUUGACAUCGGCUUUCAUUUUUAUAUUCGAUCUAGUUUUUUUUGAAUCCUACGAAAACAGAUCAGUAUCGCGCACCGACUACUUAUUUUUUUGUCGAUAGAAUUAUGUAUGGCUGGCAAAGAUCUCGUUCACCGUUCUUUAAACCACCAACUAUGAGCUCUAGGGUUCAAGCUUAGGAUCAACUAAGUAUAAAAGUCGAUUCAAAUAAAGAUUUACUUUAUUUGUUUCGUCGAUCGUACGAUAGAUAGAGAGUUUUUUUUUUUGUUCCCUUUAGUUCCUGAUUUAACAAUGUUAACUUUGGGCCAACCGCGUUAAUUUUAUACUCCAACCUAACCUCCUUAAAUCCUGAUUCGACAAGGGGUCACAAUUAACCAGGCAAUUACUAGUUUGUUGGAGUAUUACCUUUUUUGUUACCCGGGGUUUUUCAUAGAUCCGAGUACUCUGUUUCGGUACAACCCUUGAACACCUAAGCGUAUCACUCUAGGAAACUCUAGGUGUUGGUAAGUUAUGAGUGAAACAAAGGUGAAAUUAAAGAAGCGUUUUACUAUAUAGUUUUUAAUUAAUUGGAUGGUUGGCAGGGAUAGUAUUUACUGUUUCCCGAACCACUAACUAUAGUCUCUGGGAUUUAAGCCUAAAAUUAAUUAAGUAUAAAAAUCGAUUUAAAUAAAAAUUUAUUUUAUUUAUUUCACCCAUAUUACGAUAGAUAGAGAAUUUUUUAAAAAAUUAAUGUACCAUGACGAGUUGAAGCUAGCUUUUCAUAAUUACAUUAAUAUACGAGUCGCAGCUAGAUUUUCAUAAUUACAUUAACAUCCGGGUGACAUUGACGACAGUAAGAGUUUAGCAAUACGUUGUGUUUCCUAAUAGUGACUAAAAAGUAAACGCACUUCUUGAAGUCUUUAAGAUAGUCGGAUAAGUUAGCUUAUCUUAAUAUUAAAUCUCUUUUUUUUUUUCUUUUCACAUCGGUUAACUCGCUCCGUAUUUUAAUUCCGCCGUAUUCUCUCUCUCUUUUCACUUUAAUUUNAUGGGCGGAGGAUCUCCUCUCUCGACUCUCUCUCUCUCUCUCUCUCUCUUUAAAAAAUUAUUAAUUUACCAAUGAAUUUCGUUGCUUUACGCAUAACUGUAUACUAAUAAGAACGAGGAUAAAUCUGAUUGCCGCAGGAGAAGAUAAGCAACUUGAGCUACAUUUGAUAAAGACCCAGCAUCAGUAUAUUGGUCCCCUUUUUUUUGUUGUAAUAUGAAGUUAUUUUUAACAUAUAUGUAACUAUCGGUAAAGAGAUAUAGUUGUUACUUGAAGUUAUAAAGAUAUUACACUUUAAGCAAUUAAAUUAAAUUUUGUAUUUUAUCAAAAAAAUUAUUUUUUUUGUUUGAGAGAUAGGUAGCACGCUACCUGCUUCGUUUAUUUCAUUUUUAGAAAUAAACUUAGCUGAAAAUGUGAAUCAACUAGGAUUCGAACUUGGGUCUUAUGUACCAACCACCAAGCCCUUUGCCACUUGCUCUAGGGACGGUCGGUUUUGUUCCCUAAAUUUUAAUCUGACAAAUCAGUCUAUGGAGAGGUGGUAAAUAACGAUUUUUUUGGAUGAAAUAAAGUUAUAUAUGAAGCUGUACAAAUUCAAGUAUCUAAAUUAUAUAAAUAAUUAACUAUGUAAAAAAAAUUAAGGUCAAAUUUCAGAAACUAAGAUUGUAAUUAAUCCUAAAAACCAGGGUAUGGUACUAAUAUGAUUGUGAAUGAUCACUGUACCACAAGCUGAUCCAAUUAGGAGGAUUAUUGAACGACCAACGUGACACAGAAUCAAAUCUAUAAUAUCCAACAGAUUACUAUAUUUGUCGAGGAAAAAUCCAUUUAUCUGAUGGUGAUGCCCCAAUAACAGUAAAAAUAGAUCUCUCUUUAUGUGACAGGUAGACUAGAGGAUCGAGCUGGCUGAAUGGUUCCAUCACGUAUUGGCCUCACUCAGAAAAAAAGGUCUUUAUUGUUUUUUGGCGAAAUAAAGUUUUUUUAAUGUUUUAAAACUCGAAACACCCAUUACGAACAGUAAAAAUGCCAGAUCACAGUUUAACUGGUUUAAUGAGUGGUUCAACCGGCUGAAUUAGUGACGAGAGCAUAAUGUCAUAAUCAAGUUAAAAAUAGUAAUAUAUAUAUAUAUAAAUUUUAUAAACUUUUUUCUUUAAAAAAAGCUAAACAAACGGAUCAAACCGUCCAAUCAAUAAUGUAUGAUAAGUGAUAAGUGAUAAGUGAUAGUACGGACUAGUUUAAUUUAAAUUAGGCCAAAUCAUUGGUUCACUAGUUUGUAGGUUGAACCACCGGUUCAACACGGGUUUUAAACUUUUCUGGCUUUAUGGGUCGAAUUGAACUGAUCUAGAGACUUGGGCACAGUCCGACCGGUUCGACCAGGCAGUUUGUAGGUUGAACCACCGGUUCAACACGGGUUUUAAACUUUUAUGGCUUUAUGGGUCGAAUUGAACUGAUCUAGAGACUUGGGCACAGUCCGACCGGUUCGACCAGGCAGUUUGUUCCGAUUCUUAAAACAACUAGAUGUUUUUAGAUGGGAGGUUUUGAACAGUAACACAAAAGUAAGAUUAUAUCCUAGUUGGCUUUUUGGUGGGAUACAGGCUAUGAACUCUAGCUUUGCUUUGAUUUGGCGUGUGAGUAAACAAAGUUUAGUUUCAAAAAAAAAAAAAAGAAGGUAAAAGCAAAAACGACAAAGGAAAUUUUAUGAGCCGAUCAAAGCAAUUGGUAUAGUUCAAAAGCCCUAUGCAUAAUAUCAGGAUUAUUAGUUAGAUUUUAGCUUUGGGACGGGCUAAUUAGCUUGAGCUUUAGGUUGAGCACCGUCAAAACACUUUUUUUUCUUUUUUUUUUCUUUUUUUUUGAGAUAGGUAGCACGUUACCCGCUUCAUUUAUUUCAUUAUAAAAAACCUUAGCUGGAAUGUAAAUCAACUAUGAUUCGAACUUGAAUCUCGGAUACCAACUAUCAAGUUUUUUGCCACUUGCUCUAGAAACGGUCGGUAGUACUGUCAAAACACUACUAACAAGAUUUUGUGGGAAGGCAAGAAGCAUUGAUUCUGAAACAUAACUAAAAGCUGCUGCUCGAGCAUUGCUUUCGCGCAGCCGGGGCUUGUAUAUAUGCAGGUUCGAUGUUUCUGGACAUUGACAUGCAAUUAUCGUUCUUGAUCGACAUGGUGCACAAUUGCCUUUUGAGUAAAGUUAUUCUUAAAAGCGACGCGGAUGUUUUAUAUUGAAAAUUUUCCUUAAAGAUCUCAUCCAUAGCUAAAGCAAAUACUUUAAAUUAGAGUUUAUAAUCUUAAACCACAAAAGUAUGUUUUUACAAAAAAAAUAAAAAUAAAAAUAACACUUUCUAUUGAUCUUGUGCAUGGUGUCGGACUCGUUCUGCUGCUACUUGUUAGCUCUUGAUUUUCUAGCGGGCACUGACAAGAAGAACCAUAAUAUAUAAACUGAAGUAAAUUGUUCUGAUAUCUAUAGUAGUCCUUUAAUGGCACUUUAUUUCUGAUGCUACUUCGAUAUUAGUAAUUUUUUAUUUAUGAUGAUAUAUUAAAGUGAACUGAUAUUGGUAGAUAUAAUAUGCAUAUGCCUGACAAUAGUAGUAAAUAUUAUUUUGACAAUUUUCAAUUCCCUAUUAUAUUAAAAGGGUUGGGCACUAUUUCCCCCCCCCCUUUUUUUAAUGCAAUAAGUCAGUGAUACAGUGUCCGACCCAGCAGAUAAAAGGUGGCUUGGAUUGUUAGUUGGGCUUUAAAAAAGGUAGGCUUGGGGCUCGGCCAAUCCCAGGUUUGGGCCCAUGCAUCAACAAAAGACGAUGGCCUAUGAAUGAGAAAUUAUCGCGAUGCACUUGUACAGCUUCUACACUGCAGAUUAUUCCAUCCGUCGCACCUAGUCAAUGGCCACUCCCAAAAUGCUGUAGCUUUUGAAGGGGUUAAAGCUUUGAUGCUUAAUUAAUUGAUAGUUAGUUUGGUUUGGUUCGGUUCACGGGAUAUGUACAAAUGCACCCGGUUCACACAAUAGCUUCUUUGUAAAGUGCAAGCCCGGCCCAUCAAAGGAGAUGGCCCAAAGAUGCUUUAGCGAAGCCCACAUUCUUUACUCGUGGAGCCUGAGCGCAAGGGCUUAACGAUCGGGUGCGAAAUUAGGGUUUAUCUCAGGCGGGAACUUCGCCGCUUGGGAGCGAAGAAAUCUAGUUGAAAGGUCCACCUUUAGACUAGCAGUAGGGUUUAGGGUUUUGCAGAGUGGUGCAUAUCGCCCUCUUCAUCUCCUCCCUUGUUCGCUUCGAUCUCCAUGCUCUGCUCUCUUCGCCACUCGAUUGGUAUUUGGCGGCGAUCGACAAAUCCUGCUUGUGAGUUUCUCAUCUCAUCCUAUUUGAGCACCAUCUUAGCUUUGAAUUCACCCGAAGAAGUGCCCAAUUAUGAACCAGAACCCGCUUGCGCACUCCACGAUCAAAGCUUCUAUCAAAACCCUCAGCGAUUUCUCGGAAAAAACCUUGCUUUGGGGCGCCAUGAGAGUUUGGAGCCUACCCUAAUCGGGCUCCGAAAACAGAUGCAGGAAUGCGCAAAAGGUGGGGACUUGGUGGGAGCUUUUAAUGCUAUGAGGUACAUGGAACCCACUGUUCUCGAUUACAAUGCCCUGCUUUACCGUUAUCUCAAAUCGGAUAAUGUUUCGGGGGGUGAAUUGGUGAGGAUUUUUGAAAGAAUGAAGAGAUUCGGGCCGUAUCCGAAUGUUUGGACUUUCAAUGUGCUCUCUAAUGGAUUUUGUCGAUUGGGGUUAUUGGAAGAUGCUGUAAAUAUGCUCGAGGAAAUGUCUAGCUAUGGAUUCGUUCCUUCUUUUACAUCGCUGAAGAUAUUGUUGAAUAAGUCAUUAAGUUCAGGGAGUUAUGGAUUUUCUUGCAAAGUAUUAAGUUUGAUGUUACACUUGGAUUAUCCGCUAAGCUUGCAAGUUUUGAACAGGCUUAUAUAUAGUCUCAUCAAAGUUGGCAGAGUUAGUCUGGCUUAUGACAUUUUCUCAAUGCUUUUGAAUAAGGGUUUUAAGCCCAAUGUGUAUACUUAUAAUCCUAUUCUUCUUGGCUUAUGCAAGUGCGGUCAGAGCUGCACUGCGUUAUCUCUUUUCUUUGCCUUGAGGAAGAAAGGAUUUUGCCAUAAUCUUUAUUCUUAUACAGCGUUAGUUCUUGGGUUCUGUAAGGAAGGACUUUUGAAAGAGGCUUAUCAAAUUUUGGAGCAAAUGCGGAACGAAGGAUUGAAGCCUUCUGUUGUUACAUACACUAUAUACAUCAAGUUUCUUUGUAAGUAUAAUAAGAUCGACGAAGCCCUGGAUAUUUUUCAUACACUGGGAAAAGAAAACAAACAUGCAGAUCUGGUCUUGUAUAAUGUACUUCUCCAUGCUCUUUGUUAUCAUAACAGGAUGUCAGAAGCCCGUAAAUUGGUCCAUUGCAUGGAAGAGAACGGUUUGCUUCCUGAUCGUUUCACAUAUUGUGCUUUAGCUGGAGGUUUAUUGAGAUCUGGGUAUGUUAAGAGGUGCCAAACUCUUUUAUGUAGAAUCCUUUCAAGCACCAGUUUUGCGGAUGUUGUCACUUGGAACAUAUACUUCCACAGCUUAUGCUGUGAUGGCAAAGCUAGAGAGGCAUUAGCUACUGUAAAUUCCUUGGUAGAGAAAGGAUUCACCCCCUCAGUUGUGACAUAUAACACCAUUUUGAAAGGGUUUGUUAGGGAGCAGAACAUUGACGAGGCCUUAGAGAAGUUAGACCAGUUUCAUUGCGAUGAAGUUGGACCCGACUUGAUUUCCUUCAAUACGAUAUUGUCUGCAGCGUGCAAGCAGGGAGACUCUUCUAUUAUCCGGAGGGUUCUCGAUCGUAUGGACAUUGAAGGAGUCAAGCUUGACGCUGUUAGCAUGACGUGUUUAAUUCGGUAUUUUUGUAAUUCCGGGAAGUUUAUUGAGAGCUUUAAGCUUCUGAAACAUAUGAUAUGUAAUGGUCACAAGCCUACCACAUUAACCUAUAACGUUCUUCUUGACUGCCUUUGCAAGAAAGGGUUGGUUAUAAAUGAAUAUAAAUUAUUGCACAACUUCAGAUACAUGGGAAUUGAUCCAGAUACUACUUCCUAUAAUAUUCUUAUACAUGCUUCAAUUAAGAAAGCUGAUUAUUUUACAGCUGAGCGCUUGUUAAAGGAAAUGUACAGCCAAGGAGUGAUGCCUGAUGCUGUCACUUAUGCAUCUCUAAGCUAUGGUUUUUGCAAAGAGGGGAAUAUAGCUGCUGCCUUGAGUUUGGAGCACCAGAUGUUGGAGAAUGGAGUGAAACCAAGUGUCUCGUAUUACAAUACAAUAAUGGAUGCUAUGUUUAGAAUGGGCAGGCUGUGGGAUGUCUUCUUACUUCUCAGCAAAAUGGAAAUAGAAGGAAUCCAGCCAGAUAGCAUUUCCUUAAAGAUUUUGAAUCGUGCAAGUGCCAAAGGUCGAAAGAAACAGUUUCCAAAUGCCAUGAAGGUUCUUGAAAUACUAAUGAAGACAGCCAGUAAUUCGUCUGGAUUGGAAGCAAAUUGAACCACUCGGCUUCUAAUGAACUAUUUGCUCAUGGUUGAUCCCAGACUCGGUGCUGUAUUUAACUCAGGAGGUAUGCUUGUUAUUUUUCAUCAAUGAGGUACUCAUCUGGUUUCAGGUAAAAGUAAAACUUUUUUUUUAAAAAAAAUUCCUUUAGUUGGUCACAAGAAUGAGCUACUGAUCUACAUUGAUGAUGCUUGAGGAGGAACCUAAAAGAUAAAGGGAAAUCCUGUUUUUGGCCAAGGUCAGUUGGAUUCACUUUCUGCUGUAUUUCAUUUUCAGUUCAACUUUAGAUAAGUAAAUUAUGCCUAUGCAGCACUCUUUCAUAUAUAAAACUAAAAUAGGGGAAUCAUUUGAAAGUUGCACGCUAGCUUUCAUUGGUAUGGACCAAUGAUUUGAUGUUGAUUAAAUGAGAGCUACCGAGAGCUUUAGUUACUCUUUUUCCCAUUCUCUGGCUAUUUGUUAACAAAACAAUCUGAAGAGAAGAGUACACAAGGAUCUAUUUGAUGCUUAGGGCUUGUUUGUUUGUCCGUAAGUGAUUUUCAGAUUGAAUUUAGGUUGAAAAUCACUUCUAAUUAAACUGAAAUUCAAGUGGAAUUUUUUUUUCCACCGCUAUUUGUCUGAUAGGAAGUCAAUGGCUUUGAAACUGUAGUUAUUCCUUUUUGUUUUUUUUUUUCCUUUUUUGUUUUACUGAAAAUUUUCACACUAGUGAAUUAGAGGGCAAAAAAAGUUACAACAUUUGAUUUUUUACUAUUUUUUCUGGUCUCUCUCUCGUAAUUGACUUCAGCACCCCUCAUAACGAAUUUAGUUACGAUAUUUUGGGAAAGUAGAGUCACCGGUAAAUUUAAUUUAGGCCAAACCAAACAACAAAAGUGAGUAUUAAUAAUUUCCUCUACUUUCAGUAGAACAGGCAUGCCCUUAGUAACUUAUUCGACUAUCACUCUAGCAUGAUUUUGCAACUUUUUUGUGCAGUACUACAGAUUAAAAAGAGCAUCCGUGAAAAGAAAAGGAAAAAAGAGCAUCCGUGGAAAUUAUCUUGUUAUCAAUCUUUUUCGUGCUUUGAUUUGAAAUUGUGAGCUUUCACAAUGUUCACAGGAUGUCAAGAUUAUACUCUUUUGGCUUCGCUGGCUUGGCCAGACCUCGUACUUGAAUAGCUCUGUAUGUUGGGUUACCCGGAACAUAUCGAGUGUCAGAGAUUUGGUGCCAACCUUUAUACGGUGAAUAUUACCAGCUUCUUGUGGCUUUGAAGCUUGCUCUUCAGGUCAGUAUGUCUUUUAAUUAUGUGAAAAAUGAUAAAUGCUGCCAUAUUUUUCUUUUCUUUCCUGAGUACUGUUGUUGGAAUAAUUUUUAAAAAAUAUAUUGGAAUUUCAAUCAGGUCAGAUAUCUUGAAGCUCAUGUAAGAUGGCUGAACCUUACUUCUCCAGAUCAAAUUGCUUUGGAUGAGAAAGAUUCAGAUGCUUGUGCUGCUCUCAGAAGAGCGGUAAUAUGCGACAGUAAGAAUGAAAGUAAGACAAUGUAUGCACCAAGGUCGCUCGAUACAAAAGUUCCCCUCUGUGCAACAGAGGAUAAUUGAAGCGGAGGAAAAUGAGGAUGAGAAGGGCGAGUGUUUUUCCGAGAACCAAAUAGCAUUUUACUUAUGAGAGAGCUGAAAGAGAAAGACGAAGCGAAUGCUUCACCUCGGUUGAAGAUGGUAAGCAUGCAUCCUUUACCAAAAGUCUCAAAGCAAGAAAAUAAAUGCCUAGAUAUACAGACUCCCUUUCUCAAGGGAGUAAAAACAACCUAGCAAGUCAUCUUGUCUCGUCGUGCCCUAGUGAUGGUGGGUUGGUAUUUUCUCUACUCUGAUGCCGUGUUCUUUAAUUUUGCUAGUCAAACUGAAAAUAAUUUGUAAAUUUUCUGCGUAUGUUCCUCCCCCUCGACCGUGAUAGACCGUCACAUGUAACUAGGCAACGAUCUCAAAGGAUGCCAAUAAAAUGGACCGUGAAAAUAGUCCCUAUUUGGAUGGAAAAAAGUGAUAGCUAGGUGGAAGCAAAUCCAAGAUCGGAGUCGAUGCGUUGUGAUGCAUAGUCUCUCAGUGGAGUGGGGGUAUUUGCGUUGUGUGUUUGUUGCUGAAGUAAUGGGAAUGCGUUACCUACCCCAUCGCACUUUGAUUAUGGGUUUUCUAUUUCUCAUUAUUUUUUGCGCUUGAAAUGUUAGAUACGAUUAGCCGAAAGAAAGAAGGUCCGCUGUGUGAAGAAUAUUUAUGUUAUCAUUCAACAAAAUGGAUUUACGGUCGCCGGGCAGUCAGAGUUGUUUUGGUAAGCUGCUGGCUGCUGCAGAAAGUUCUGCCAGCUUCCACACGAUAGACAGACGGUAGAGGAAGUACUUGUCUCUGCACUCUCCAGCCCAGGAGAUUGACAAAUUCGUGGCCUUUUUGGGCCUUCGCAUAACAGAGCACCUCAAAAUGUUACAACGAAAUGACAUCAUUUUACACCAACAAGAAAAACACCAUCGUCGUGGUAAUAGUAAUCAUCAUUUCCCGCUUGGAUCAUCAUUUCCCGCUUGGAUUGUGAAUAAUAAUAAAUCCACAAAAUUCUACGCACCUUGUCUCUCUAUUCCGAGAUGAUCUCUCCUUUGGGCCCGAAUCUCUUCUUUAGCUCACCAAGCUCCUCCGGGCUGAGCCCAAAAGCCUUCUCCAGAAGCCCAUCCUUGAUCCCGGAUCCGAACACCGUGCUCGGUAUCCUCACCACGCCCGGAUUCUCGCUGUUGAAGCUCCCGAAUAUGGUCGCCGGGUUGUCCCCGACGUUCAUCUGGAAAUGGAUCAUCCCUUUCGGGAACACCAUCACCUCCCCCUUCUCGAUCACCUUGGCGUAGACCCGGCCCACCGAGUCCACGAACCCGGCGUAGACGCGGCCCGCGAGGACCAGCGCGGUCUCGGUGGCCCGCGGGGGGCUAGGUCGGCACGUGCGAAGGACGUGCCGAGCGUGUGGAGGCCCGGGAACUGGGCCGGGCCCACGGAGAGGCCCGCGAACCCCAUCUGGUUCGAGAAGUUGCCCGGGGCCCGGAUCCCGGAGAAGACGAAGUCGCCCGCGGUGGAGUUGGCGGGGCUCUUGCACGGGUACGUGGCCAGCCGGGCGAGCUCGACCGGGCCCGAACCGGAGUCGGGGACGCAGAAGUCCUGGACCGGGUCCGAGUCCGCGGUCGACCGGGGGAGGAGGACGAGGAGGAUGAGGAAGAAGAGGGGCGCCAUGGGCUAGUGACCUCGGUGUCUCUGGAGUCUGGACCAGGGCUACUAAAGCUUUUAUUGGAAUAAGGCGUUUAUAUAAAAUACCUAUAAAGGUAUCGGGGCUCUCGUUAUAAUGUGAAAAUAAAAAUGUGCGUUGGCUUUUUGGCAGAUUAGAUAGUGGGUGGUCCCUGACUCCCUGGUUUUGUCGUCGGCUAUAGCAACGUUGAUUUUUGAUUUGUCGGGAGAGGCUUCUGUUAUACGUAAGAGGUAGGAGAGGCGAUUGUGGAGGAUAUUUCUUAGCGAAGUUUUGUAAGUAAGGUGGGUAUGGUGAUUGGGUAUAUAAGUUAUGAUUUAUUAGGAUUAUUACUGAUCUUUCCUUUAAUCAUAAGCGCGCAGCUUAAAGAGUUUCUUUUACUCCUCUCCAAUAAACAAGGGAUGGCUUGGAAAAUCCGCAUACCUUUUCAUGAUUAUGAUGAAUGAAGAAAUUUCAGAUAGUCAUAUUACCAGCUGUUUGCUGCUUUGUUUAAGUUUGGUAAGAUUCCGGAAGAGCGCACAUUCCUUGGAGAAACAAGAUUCAAACUCGGACCGUAUAGCCGUAAAAGUAGGUUGCCAAUCAAUAUGUUCUCUUAUAAAUUCUAAAUUACAAUGCCAUGAGCCUCACACAAUGUUCGUUUUACACGUAUGGAUGUGGAGCUGUUUGAGCAUGAGAAAACCACCUAUGCCAUCCCAGACAUGGUAAAGCCCACGUUUAGUCCACAGCUUGAAUAUCCUACCUGGGCCUUAAUAGCACUGCACUUUGCAACUUCAACCCUGCCUAAAAGCUGCAGUAAUUGCAAAUUAAGGUGGCACGUGGAACCAAAUAAGCCUUGAAGAAGCCAAUAAACUACACUACAGGUGGUUAUCUUUGCUAAUCUAUACAUUAUUCCUCCACGAGAGAUGCGAGAAUCAGAAGGGAUGCCAUCCUGGUGUUUCCUUCCCUGUUCUGCAAUUUAUCAGAUAUGUAUAAGAACUGGUAUCUCAUAUCUAUUUUUGAUAGGAGCUAUUUUUCAGUUCUGCCCAGUUAGAAGGCAAGAAGCAGUCACUCUUAAGCGGCAAACCUAUUAGAAAUAUUCGAGGCUUAGUUGCCUCACCUUGUAGCUCAGUUAAGUUCCUUAUUGAAUGAAGCGAUAGCAUGCUACCUUUUCUCAAAAAAAAAAAAAAAAUAUACAUAUGUCACUCUCAGAAUAUGACCAAAAAAAAAAAAAAAAAAAAAAAACCUAUCUGAAAUAGUAUGGACUUGUUUAUUCCGGACAAAACAAAAUUUGUGCAUAUCACCGCCUGAUAUCCCCGGGGUAAAGUUGGUAGCCACCUCUCAAUAUAACAUGUGCUGAAAACGGGACCGAAUAAAAUUAAGGCCCAUUGUUUAGGAGAUGUAAGAUAAACUUCUCUCUUAUUCAGCAGCAGCAGUCGAAGAUAAGGCUAUAAAACCCCGGGCUGAAGCUUCCAAGUUCACACCCAACAGAGUUUUAAGUUAGCCCAAUGGUUUGAGGUUUUAUGCAGUAACGAUUCCAGUCAACAUGCCUAAAAUAAUUACAGGAAGUUCAUGGGUACAAUAGAAGCGAACCAACACCAGCUGUGGUCCACAAUUUAGUAAGUCUCCACGAAUGUGAAGGUAUUAAUAGCUAUCUUCCUCGGUUUCGGGUCUUCGAAGGUAGUAGCGCAGACAAUUAGUCAACACCUGCAUGUUACACAAAAAGAUUAUGAGCGAAAUGUUCAUUGCUCCAAUGACCCCUCAAGAUGAGUGCAUAAUGAGAAAUUACUCGGGGGUGAAUUUUGCCUCUAUUUUUUCCCCCCUUUUACUAUUGUGGGAAGAUCAGCAAACUGUAUAUUUGUGGUCUUAUCUAUCAACUAGAAACAAAAUUGAACAAGGAAUUCUUUUUUCCUUAAUAUUCAAAAGUGACGAGUUCUGUAAACCAAACAACAUCAAGAAAAACCUACAAAAUUUCAUAUAAAAGUAUCAUAUGUUUACAUAGUUCCAACAGUUAAUUUCAGCAUUACAUAUGUUUAUAUAAUCUCUCUGGAUACUUACCUAACGGUUAGAAGAAUUACUGACUUUGCAGUAAUACUAUUCCAAGAACUUCUCAAAAAAGAAAACAUACUCUAUUGAAAGAAGGCCGAAAAGUCUCACCUGAGACAAGGAACUGUCGAUUGCUGCACCUCUGUAGCUUACGUGGAAUUUGUCCUUAGCAACCAGACCCUGUAAGAUGACAAGGAUAAGAAUACAGGAAAAAAAAAAAAAAAGCCAAUGACAGAUGCUCUUUUAAAGGGUGAAAAGAGAUGGAGCAUACUUCAGUGUCGAUCUCAGCUGAUUCAACAUCAAUAUUUAUGUCAGUUAUGAUCUUGAUGAUUUCCAGAAGUAGACCAGGUCGAUCAGCAGUCUCAAUGUAAAGCAAGCUGGAGAAUGCAGAAAAUUCUGAGGGAUAAGAAACACUUCCUUUUGGGGUGAUAAUGGAUAAAUUGAAAAUGGAAAACCGAGGGGGAAGAUUUAUCUAAUUUCCUUAUCCCAAUCAAACCGACUGUCCAAUAGACCGAACAUGUUUGCUUCAGCCAGCUCUGUUCAGUUUACUGAGGUAAUGUAAAGACCUCUAAAUCUAUACAUGCUCAUAAAUCUCUUCGAUGCAAUAACUCGUAUAGAAAUCAACAGACGAUUACUGAUCCAUCAGAGGACAACUAAAGCACCACUCAUGCACACAUCCCUACGCAUCUGUAAGUAGUCCUCCAAGAUUUGCACGUUAAAAAGAAAAUGAAUACCACCUUGAUUUAAUUAAAAAUGAUUAAAUUAGAAGCCGAUAUGGCGAUAUAUGAAUCUAGCAGUCUGGUACUGUGAUCACUUAGAAACGAUGCAGGUACGAAAUGAACUGCAAUUUCUACCAUAUUUUUUGCUUAGCGUGAAGCAGAAAAGCAGAUGAUUUGAACGAAAGAUUGUUCUCUCUACAAUAUGGCGAAAGGUCAUCAUUUUGAAAAUAUUCUAGCAAGCAGCUCAGCAUAAAAUUUUCCAAAGAAUACAAUGCCAUAUGUUAGUAUAAAAAUUUUCUUGAUAAAUACGAUGCUAAGGCAUAGUAUCAGUUACUGCACAAUCAUAUAUAUAUAGAUGCAAGAGAAUACCGGUGUUUUAAGUGACAAACCUUCUCUUUGGUCCAUCAUCUUGAAGAAGUACUUGUGUUGCAACGUCAACAUCAAGCUUCAUGUGAAGAGAUAAAGGGAUAAGGGUUCUCAGUUUAAAAUAUCAUAUAACACCACAAUAAGGAAGGCAUUAAUCUUAUUUAACAAUUGAAAUCUCAAGCUGCUAGCACAAAUGCAUCACUACAUAUAUGCCAAACAACACAUGAAAAUGCCAAGGUAAUUCAACUUUAGAGCUUGCAUGGCAAGAAUGAAAAACGUGUGGUUUAGAACAUGCUUCUAAUGAAUAUAAUAUUACCAGAAAGCCGACUCACUUGAUUGGUGAUUAAUAAAAUAAGAAAGCUUUUUACUUCAAAUUCCAUCAGAAUAUAAAAGCUGAAUUUUAAAUCACAGUGGAUAAAUCCAAGAAACAGGUGUGGAAGCCAGUAAGAAAGCUUUCCUGUCAUGUACCAACCUAAUUUCCAUGAUCAACUUCAGAUUGAACUUACACUACCAAAUAUGUGAUUCAUCGGUGGUCCCUUGUUUGCAGUGCUGAUCAAAUACUUGACGCAUGAGACAGUAUCAAAAGUCUAUCAACAGAACUCUACAGAAACUAGUGUGGCAAGCUAUUAAUAAAUAAAAUGUUGACAUUAAGACAUUUGAUAAAAUAUUUCAAAAGAAUUUUUGCAAAAUAAAUAAACAAAGAUUCCAAGAAAGCAUCCAAUUCUCAAUCCUCACAAGGAACCAACCAGCAUGAAGUAUUUGAAAUAUGUUUCUCUCAUAAAAUAUUAGAUCUAGUCACCUUCUUCUCUGGAGGUUUUAUUCCGAAAACCUCACCCAUUGCCAGCUUCUCACUGGAUUCCUACAAAUAUAUAGCUAAAUGUAGUUAGGAGAUAAAAUUCCGAAAGGAUUAUUUAAACCAGCAUAGAAAGUGAACAUACUGGAUGAUACUUCAGAAGAUUGCCGAUUAUUGUAAGACGAAUUUUUUCUAACAUGUCAGGAUUCUCAACUUUUCGUCCCCUACAGACGUUGAAAACCAACAAUUAGACGCAAAUAUAAUAGUCUAUUCCGCUGUCAUAUUAUUACAUAAAGACAAGGCAUUCCAUACGCAUACAAUGUUGGGGUAAAAAGUUUUUAGUAAUGCUGAAAAACAAGAACACCCUUCUUAGUUGUUAUCUUAUGUGAAUAUAAGGACAGGACUACUAGAAAAACUGAAUAACUCAGGUUGCAACUGCGUGAAUGAUCAUUCAAAACAAUAGGUAGAUACAGAAGUUCAGAAUCCAUCGUUGCUGUUUUUGUGCAUUAGAAGUUACAGCGAAUGCAGGACAAGGCCAGGACAGUAAUUGCAUAUUAAGAAAUGAAAGGGACACACUUAAAGUGAAAGAAAGGAACAAAGGAAAAUAAAAAAUUGCAAGAAAAAGGGGCUGUUGGGCACAAGCAAGUUGGAAGGAAGGCUGAUAUAGGACAAUAGAUAGCCUAGGCUUUAUUAAGAUUUACAGGUUGACUAAUGCACGUUGAAAUAAAGAAAGCAAAAGAAUAAAACUGUUAAGUACUUACCGUCGCAUUAUGAAGAACUUUGUUUGUACAACAGAUGCCUCAGUUGUCACUGUUCCCUUAGUCACAUCAAGGCCUAGGUCUUUGAGCGCCUUCAUCUGCAGAUGAUGAGAACCAACAUAAAAGUAAAUCCCUUCUGUUUAUCUACUAUAACCUGCAAGCCUGUCAUGUCUAUGUACAAGUAUAGUCUCACACUGAGCUGGCGAACUCCAUAGUCACUCAAUCCAGUAUUUAGUUGAUAACUUGAUAUACAGAGAAGGCAAUGUAAAGAUGUAAAUGUUUCAUGCCUAUGAGUUGGUGCAAUAAUAUGCACCAUGAACAUCAGAGUAAAUAUUAGAAAAGUAUUUCUCUUUAAUUGAUUCUAAUCUAUGGCCAUGCAAAACCACAAGGUGAACCUUGCUUCGAUCUAUCACAAGGAUCAAAGAUUAUAAAAUAGAUUGUGUUUGAAAAGUUCUCCACUCGUUAUCAAUCGACUUAGUUGCAACACAUAUAUCAGUUCAAAAAGAUGAAAGUUAUCUAAAAAAAUAUUCAUAAAAAUUUAUUAAGAAUGAAGCACAACAGCUCCACUUCCACCACACAAUUGAUAGAUUGCUUUUUGUCGUCUGCCGGGAAAAAUAUACAAAAGAGUUGAAGACAUUCAACAAACAGAUUUAACUGGUACUAGAACAUAAGUUAAGAAGAAUAGAAAAUAUUAAGUUAACCGUGUCAAGAAGUGCCCCCAGACGAUCCCCAAAGCUAAGCUGCACAAUCGUUGCAUCAGAAUCUGAGUCUUGAUCUAUCAGCACUAUCGGCAUAGGAACCGAAUCAGUCUCUCGUUCAGCCCCCUACAUAUAAUUAAUUCAUAAUAGUGAAAUUCAUUUAAAUUCGAUAUUAAGGAUGAAAAUCAAAUAUAUUCCACAGACAGGAGGAUAAGAAUUGCAAAUUAAAGAUGACCAAACAAGCUUUACUGUCUGCAUGAAUUAAACAGAACCAAGGCUUGCAUAGGAUCUCCUAAAGAAAAUUAUGAAAAGCAAGUGCAGACUUUAGUUACAAGGUCUCGCUUCUUCACUUUCUUCUUUCCAUUACCCACUUAGUAUCAUUUAAGAAUAUAAAGAUAGCUGUUUUUUUGUCUAAUAGAUAUGCUUAGACAAACAUUAGUGGCAUUGACAUAGAUAAUAAGCAUUGUGAGUUCUGAUUAAACUAUGUGUUUUAGGCCCCUUUUUUUAAUUUUUAAUUUUUGCCCGAGUGUCAGUACGAUUUUAGGUAGCCUUUCGACAGCUGAUAUGGGAAGUACAAUACAAUUACUCAAACAAUGAUAACAAUUUGUUAUUAAUUAAAAUUGAUGAAUAUAUCUUACCAUUGAAGAAGAUCCCAGAGUGUCCACAGAAUUAAUAGAAGAUUGGGAGCCGAUCCUACACCAUAUAUUUAGUACAUCGUCAGCAACAACAUGCUAAACAAAGGAAACAUCGACAGACAGAGCAUCAAGCUAAAAAACUCGGAUAACAUAAAAGCAGUUCUUACAAAAUAAAAAAUUUAAAUAUUGACUGAAUAAAUCUAGAUGUAAGAAAGAACCAUCAAACAAAGCAUCCAACUCCUUGUGCAUCCUUUUGCUCCGGAGGAGGUAGAAACAUCGAUUUGAUCAGAUUAAGUUGGAGUUGGGUCUCCUCAGAGGGGUAUGAGAGGAAAGGAGCUCCGGGAACUUACUUUCCAGCAAAAACAUAAUGAACACGAUUCCGAACAAUAAUUAACUAAGAAAACCUGGUAUAAUCACAGCUUCUCCACUUAAAAAAAAAAAAAAAUCCAUGCUUCACCAAAUUAAACCAGAAAAAAAUCACAAUAGCUCACAAAAAGUGCUCUGAACUCUAGAUUCGUCUAGAAACUACGAAGUCAAACCAAAGAAAGCGAAAGAAAGCAACAUCACAUAAAUCACUAACCCUAGAGCCAAAAACAGGAGAAUCGAAUCAACAACGAUAAGAUUAUAUCGCUGAAAAACUCAGAUUCAUGAUCACAACACAUCAAGAGUGAGGAUCCGAGCUUACCCGCGGAAAUCUCCGCUGAAGCCACCGCUUGCUGGGAGAGAUCCAUGGAGGAAGGUGGAGAACUUGCCAAGCUCGAUCCGAUAAGCGUGGUAGGAUCGGAGAAACCCUAGAGUGGAAACCCUAGAUCGGAGGAGAGGAAGGGUGGGGGAGGGGGAGGAGGAGAGCGGGUGAGAGCAGGUGAAGAAGCUCGCGAGAGCCAUUGUCGCACUCUGCUGUGGUGGAGCUGUCGCCUUUCGUCGAGAAAAGUCUCACGGGGGAAGCUCACAGGUGGUGGGGAUGAGGGCCGUUUUAUCAAAGGAAUUAUUGUAUGGACCUAGUCCACCACGUCAUCCGUAGACUGGCCAACCCUCCGCCCUUCAUCUUAUCUCUUUUUGGCAUAUCCACCGUUCAUUUGAUCUCGGAGUUUUAAAAAUGUAAAAUCUUUUUUCUUCUAAGAUGUGGAUACGUUCAAAAAGAUCGAAAUGAAUAGUGAAUGACCGUGAGGUUUACUGAUGACGUGGUGAACCUUGUUUAGGUAAUAGCUUGUCGUUUUGUAGGCCGAUAAGGUUCGAGAUGGGGCCCAUUCCUCUUGGGCCGACGCUGCCGAUUGGCCGAUUGGUUUCUCAGCGGAGCCUGGUAUGAGUGGUAGAGGCCACGUCGGAUGUCGCACGCGCGAGACCACACGUCAGCUCUCCGAGCCUGAUUAUGUCGACAACAAGGUUUCGCGUGGUCGAUGUCUACCACGUCCUCAAUGGACCCCUGAACUGGUCAAACCAGAAUACAACAUUUUUUUUUUUUCAUUUUUUGCCACCACUGCUUGUAAUUUACCCUUUUCUCCUUUAACUUCCGUUGUUUCGGGAAACGAGGAAUACAUGGCGAGCUCCUCUUCUCCACCUCUCGCCUCCAAUGGCGACGCCCUCGUGAGCUCGAGCGCCUCGCGGCAUCCUCUACUCCCCCUCCCCCCUCCCUCUUCUUCCAAUUAGGUGGUAAUUUAACCCUUCUCCACUCUAUUCGUGAUUUGAUCUAACAUAUUUUCGAUUUUUGAGUGUGUAGUAGUAGUAAGUGCUCGUAAUUUUUUCUCUUUAAAUUAUGGGGGUUUUUUUUUUAUUUUGAAGCAGUUGUUAAUGCAUUGCUAGAUCUUCCUACUAGAUACUUCGCUCAAGAAUUUCUUUGAUGAGGUAAUUGAGAACGAAGUGUUUUCUAGUUCUAAUCGGGUUUACGAGGCCUCGGAGCUUAUCGGAGAGAAUGUAUUGUCUUUGUAUCAUUUUCUGAUGUAGUUAGAAAAUUAAUUAGGAUUUAAAAGUUUUAUUUUUUGAAUUAUCGGAUUAUUACUUUAAUUUACUUUUAGAGAUUUUUAGAGAUUGUUUAGGAAUUUUUGGAGGAAAUAUUUUUUUUAAAAAAAUUAGGGAUUUGAUUUUGUGCUUCUAGGUUUGCGUGAUCUCCUCUAGCCUGUGUGCUUUCUUUUUUUUCUUACACGCUGGCAAAAUUCUUUCUUCCUUAAGGUUAGUUUCGUGAAUUUUUUCUCCAUAUUUUCUGAAAUUUUGUCUAUUUUCUGCAUCUUUUUUAUGUAGUUUCCCAUUUUUAGUGCAUCCUAAAGGAUUUACAGUAGCCUUAUUUUUUUCUGUCUAAUCUGAUAUCUGUCAAAGCCCACAACAGUUGAGCAAUGUUCACUAAUAAGAAUAAUCCUUAAAGUUGAAAAAGAACAAAAGAGCAACAUGGUCACCUAGGAUCUUUAUAUAUAUAUAUAUAUAUAUAUAUAUAUAUAUAUAUAGUUGAGCUAAAAUACUAUCGAUCGCAAACGGGCUCCGUUGUCACCCAUUUGUUUUCAAUGAUCAAGUCUCCAAAUCGACGAUCGGCACCGUUGAACAUGAUCUAUACCACUUGAAGUAUUUAGAAAUCAAAUUUCAAAUCUUUUCGACAUCAUUUGCCCAAUGAUCAAAGGGUUUCAAAAUUUAUAAUUUUAAUGGUUUGUUUGACGUGUUUCUCGUUUAACAGCAUAAAGAUAUCCAAAUCAAUUAAAUUUUGUUAGAAAAUUUUUUAAACUAUUUAAAACAAGAUCUAUACCUUGAUCUUUGAUUAUAAGACUCAUAUCAUCAUUUUUUUUAAGAAUAUUCAUUCAGCCGUUCAUUUUUAUGUCCACUCGAUGGAUAGAGAACAAUAUCGAAAUAUAUGAAAUUGAUUUUUAACACUUCAAGAAGUAUAGAUCAUGUUCAACGGUGCCAAUCGUCGAUUUGGAGGCUCCAUCAUCGAAACAAAGAUGGGUGGCAACGAAGCCCGUUUGCUACGAUAGUAUUCUAGCUCAACUCUCUCUCUCUCUCUCUCUCUCUCUCUCUCUCUCUCUCUCUCUUAAUAUAUAUAAUUAUUAUAGAUAUAUAUAUAUAUAUAUAUAAAACUAGGCUGGAAUACUAUCAAUAGCACCAAGCUAUUGGUGCUAUUAGUUUUUUAACUUUAAUAUAUAUAACUUUUAGGGAGCGUUUGGUUCGCACUAUGAAAAAUUACUAGGAGUAAAAAGAUAUCAAAGAAUCUUAUUUCUAUUCAUCCUAUUACUAAGAAUGUAGUAUUUCGGUGUUUGGUUCGUACGGUCAUAUUAUUUAGUCAUGUUAUUUAAGAUUACGAAAAAUAUACAAUUAAUUAAUUUAUUUAUUUAUUUAUUUUUAAAUAAUACUAUAAAAAAUUUUAACAUCUUUUUAGAAAAAAAAAGAGAGUAUAAUUAAAGACAUAGAAAGAAAAAUAGAGUCGAGAUUAGAGAGAAUGAGAGGAUUGAGAUUUAGAAAAAGAGGGGGAGAAAUAGCUUAAUUUAGAGAGAGAAAAAGAGUUAAAGUUUAGAAAGAAAAAGAUAAGUUUAGAAAGAGAUAUGAGGUUAGAGUGUAAAAAAAAAUAAUACCAAUUAGCCGGCGGAUGGGAAGAAAAAAAAAGAGAUUAGAUAUAUUAUAAUUAUUCCAAUUCAUUAAUAUAAGAAUACCCACCCUCCCUCAAAGAAAUAAGAUUAGUACUUUGGGAUGCAUCUUAUUUCCAAGUAAAUUCAGUAUUACCAACCAGAUUACUUAGUGCGUUUAGCCAAACAUCGUCAUAUUUUUUUAUUCCUAUUGGAUUACUAGGAAUCUAAAAAAGAUAGCGCGAACCAAACGCACGCUAAAUUUUAUGGGUGUUUUCACUGCACAUUGCUAACGAUACCGGAUGUCGACUAGCAUCUGUUAAUAAAGUGCAGGGAUUACAUAGUACUAGUAGUUUAUAGGAUAACUUAACGAAAAGAGAAGGAAAGAAAAUAGAAGAAGUAUAGUGUAAAAGGCACCUUGUAGUUAACUGUAACUAAGGCUUGAUAUACCUGCUUAAGCUCACUGUAGUUUUCCUGAUGUUAUGCUAGAUUAGACAGUAAUUUGGGAUUAAAGUGUUUGACGGAGAACCAAGAAUGGGAAUAUCCAAGAUGGUUGGUUUGGCAGCAGCAACGCUAUUCUUAGCAUCUAUUUGCCUGAAACUGUCCCGCAACACAUUGAUCAUGGUGCCUAUCCUGUUCGACUCAUUGAUUGCUUCUUUGGUUGCUGUUGCAUCUCAUAAUUCAGUUAACUUUCCGUUAAUCUUGGGAAAGAACUCUGAUGGGAGAUUCCCUCUCUGGUCAAAACUUAUCUUUGCGCCAUUUUUGCUGCUUGUUCGGGCCUAUGUAUAUGUGAGAAGAUUGAAGAGCAAAGAACCAGUAUAUAAUGAAAUUUCUGAAGGUUUAUAUGUAGGAGGGUGGCCUUAUUCUUUAGACCAGUUGCCACCUGGUGGACCGGCAGUUAUUGAUUGCACAUGUGAAUUACCGAGAAGUUCCUUUAUUCCAAAGGAUGAAUAUCUAUGCAUUGCUACAUGGGAUACAAGGUCUCCUUCACCAUCACAAAUUGAAUCUGCAGUUCGUUGGGCGUGUAGAAAAAGGGCCGAGAGGAAACCCAUCUACGUCCACUGCGCAUUUGGUGAGGUUCUGACAUCUCUCCUAAUUUCAUAGGAGUUUCAUAGAACUAUAUGUCUGUAAUCCCUCUCUCUCUCUCUCUCUCUCUCUCUCUGAACUUUCAGCUAUGAUGUUUAUAGUUAUUUUGAAGUUAUUGCAUAGUAAGUGAAGAAAGUUUUUGUUCUUACUUUUAAAAUUAGGGAACUCAGCACCUGGAGCUUCAAUAUAAGCAUUAGUUGAGUGCCUAUUGCCUAAUUCUUUAUUCCGUCCAGCUGAAAGAUCUCAAUUUGGCAUUUUUAGCCACUGUGACCACUGAUUGUUGGCAGAGAGACAUAAAGUUGUAUUUAUUUUGUUGUUAUCAUCAAGCAUUUAAUUUUACAUGCUUGAAGUUCUCUAUUAUGGCAUGCACGAAAUAUAAGCUUGAAUAAGGCUAGUUGCCUAUUCGAUUUGUUAACUUCCAACUUUGACAACCUCAUUUAUUGCAAAAUAGUGAUUUCUUCUAUUAUGAGUUAGCUGCAAGGCGCAGACGCCUUUCUAUACUCUGUUUACGGACAACUCUAAGUUCAGUCAGUCUUAGGCUUUGAGGGCAAUUAUCAUCCGCUUCUUGGGCCUGGGAAUCAAGAAUAAGUUUCAUAUUUCAGCUAUCUAUGGAAAGAUAGAAACGAAACUCUACAUUUUGGAUUAAUUUUGUUAGGCAUCAAUGCUCUCUGGUACUUAGGGCUCUUCAUUUUGGGGGCAUAUAUGAUGCGACAAUUAUACUCUUUGGCUGACAUUUAAUACAAGAGGCUCCGGAAUGUAGUCAUUGCGCAAUACAUCUUCUCUUUUAUGCAUUGACUAUUUGUUAUUUUCUGAAUCAUUAGAGGACAUAUAAUAAAGCAUGUUAAAGGCACCUUUUUCACUCUUCUAUUGUCACCUGACCUGCGACGGAGGUAGAAGGAAGUAUAUCAUAGCAUCUAGUUGAAACUAGGAAAAACAAAUUUUUUUGCGAGAGAAAGGUAGCAUGCUACCCGCUUCGUUUAUUUCUUUUUAGAAAUAAACUUAAUCAAGCUUUUUGCCACUUGCGCUAGAGACGGUCGAUAGAAAAGGCAAAAUUGAGAGAUUUUCUGGUUGUCAUACAAUUUCAUUUUGUCGUUAUGCGAUUUCUUGAUGUUGUGCUGUAACUUAACUUUCUUAUAAUAGCAUAUGCUAGGUGCAUAUUUCUACAAGAAAAUUUGUGAGGUUUAUAGGAUCUCUUUGGGAUGACAAUUAAUGUGCACUAAAGCGUUUAUUAUGUUCUGUAUAUUCUUCUGGUCUUUUGUGCAACUAAAAUUGCCUAAGAAAAUGUCUAUCUUGGCAACAUUUAAGCCUUACACGGGCGUAUGCUACCUACUGGCAUUAUCAUGUUCUCACUUAAACAAGGUUUAUGAUCAUCUUUACUUGUCAGAGCCCUGUUCAAAUUUUUGUGGUUAAUAACAUAACUUUUACUCUUUUUUUUAUGGUUUUGAUGGAUCACGCAACAGGCCAUGGAAGAAGUGUCUGCAUCAUGUCUGCCCUUCUGGUUGCGUUAGGUCUGGCUGAUAACUGGAAAGAAGCUGAGAAGAUUAUUCGGGAAAAAAGACCAAAAAUCAGAAUGAAUGUUCUUCACAGGAGAAACUUGGAAGAAUGGUCCAAAUACAGGCUUUCAUCAAAAACAGGGUAGCUAAUUUUGCUCUCACCUUUGUGACUAUUUAUGUGCCUUGGAGAAGCAUCUAUCCUGCAACUUUCCCUACAUAUUUUAGCUUUAAAAUGGAUCUCUUUAUGCAAACAAUGGUCUAUUGUGAGCCAUUAGGUAUGCUGAAGCCGACAUGUCAGUGUUUUUAGUCUUAUGCUUCUAUCUUGAGUAAUCGCCAUUCAUGCAUGCUUGUUUACCUUUUCCUUGUGAAGCCACUUCCGUUUGUUUCAGAUUUUUGCUGAUACACACAAACAAUAUAUAUUUAGAGACAUCUUUAUAUAUUCGAACCGCUACUCGUUUGUUUUUUCUCUUACCAACAGCUUUUAAACCUUUUACUUCUCUUACGCCCCCUAUUUUCAGCCGUCUAUUAACAUAAUCUUUUUAACUUCGGGUAAACUCUAAUUUACCCCAUUGUGAUAUAGUGCAUUUUAACUUUGUCCCCCUAUGAUUUAAAAAUUUACACUUAAUUAUUUUGUGGCUUAAUGCUUUCUUAUUUUGCCACCCGGUGGUUUGUAAAGUUACAGGUAACUACUCCAUGAUUUUACUUUUUUUUUUGUUUGACUUUAAGAAUCUAUUAUUAAACAAGAUACAACUCCGUAAUUUUUCAUAAAUUUUACCUUGUUUUUCGGUAAAACAAAAAUAAAACUAAAAAAUAAUUAUGUAUAUUAUUUUUUUUAAUCAUAAUAUAACAAAGUAAAAUAUGUGCAUAAAUAGAAAUUUACCCUUCAAUUCUCCUUGUAAAGAAAGAAUGAAAUCUGGAAAGCUUAUCUUCUAAGUCUCUGGAUGUUUCUUUCUAUCUACCUUUGCUGCACAAGAAGAUGUCCUUGAACGCUAAUUCCACAAUUUCUAAGUUCUGAUACAAUCUGUUGGGAUUAUUAUUCUGCUUUUAGAUAGAUUAUAAGGUUUUUAACUCUAGCACUUGCAUUAAUGAGAUGACUACAAAUUUGAAACCCACACUUACCCCCUUUGUAUGUAAAAAAUAAUAAUAACAAUAAUAAAGUGGAGAGUUAUUGUUGACUGAGUCAUCAUUUAGUGGUACUAAAAAUAAUAGACAUCAGUUUUUGGACUCCAGCUAUUAUUAUUUCAAAUAUAAUGCUUUUCGUCCCGUCGCCAAUUAGUUGCACUGCUAAUCUGCAGAUCAAAGAGAUUAUUUUCUGGACCCUAGCAAUUGUUAGGAAUAUCACAUUAAAAAUGCUAAGCUCGACCGACUGUCCAUAAAGCAAGUGACAAAGGGCUUGGUGGUUGGUACCCGAGACCCAACUUCGAAUCCUAGUUGAUUCAUAUUUCUAUCUAAGUUUAUUUCUAAAUAAAAUAAACGAAGCGGGUAGCGUGCUACCUAUCUCUCUCAAAAAAAAAAAAAAUGCUAAGCUUGACUAUAUUUUCUUUUGGUAAAGCAUUUUUUAGUACAUCAGUGGUGAUUUUGUAUAGUAAAUCCAUCUGCCCUUUUUUUUUCUCAACCGAUGGUUUAAAAGACUUAUUUUUUUGAUAAAUAAAUAAUAUGCUAUUCGUUUCGUUUAUUUCAUUUAGAAAUAAAUAUAGCCGGAAAUAUGAAUUAACUAAAAUUUAAAUUUAGAAUCCCAAAUAUCAAUCAACAAAUUGUAUUUUUUUGUCACUUACAUUAU
rnacentral:lncRNA from 1 species